UUGAUAAUGGAAAGGAGAUAGCAGUGAAAAGACUAGCCAAGAAUUCUGGCCAAGGAAUUGGAGAGUUUAAGAAUGAAGUUCUGCUGCUUUCAAAGCUCCAACACAGGAACCUUGUGAGGAUCAUGGGUUGCUGCGUUCAAGAUGAAGAGAAGAUGUUGAUCUAUGAAUACUUGCCAAACAAAAGUCUUGACUUUUUCAUUUUCGGUAUGUCUUUCUUUUACUUUUGUUAUUCUUUUUAUACAAGCAAUAUUGUGGAGGGGAAAUCAAGCUCAGGACCUCAGGUGUAGGAUUGAAUGCUCUUAACUCAACUUAGUUACAAGCACUUUUCUUUUCCCUUGUGUAUCUAAAAUUGUCGGUUAGAAACCUUGAACCAAGCAAGAAUACAAUCUAAUUUACUUUGCUUAUUUUGUUCCCAUAUGAAGCAAAAGGGGAGUUCUUGGAUUGGACAAGAUGCUUUGAGAUAAUCUGUGGGAUUGCUAGAGGGAUCUUAUAUCUUCAUCAGGAUUCAAGAUUAAGAAUCAUCCAUAGAGAUCUAAAGGCCAGCAAUGUUCUGUUGGAUUCUGCUAUGAACCCCAAGAUUUCAGAUUUUGGUAUGGCUAGGAUAUUUGGAGCUGAACAAAUUGAAGCAAAUACAAACCGUGUGGUUGGGACAUAGUAAGUUUCAUUCAAAACUGAAAGUACACCUGUUUUUUUUUUUAAGUUUCAUCCCUACGAGUUAUACAAUUAACUUUUGUUGAAUAAUACAGAAAGAAGCUGUGAUAAUUAAUCAAUUUUAUUUUGUUGUUUCAGCGGUUAUAUGUCACCAGAGUACGCAAUGGAAGGACUUUUUUCAGUAAAGUCUGACGUAUAUAGCUUCGGUGUUUUACUACUAGAAAUUGUUACUGGCAGAAAGAACAUCGGCUACCACCACGAUAGUCCUUACUCAAAUUUAGUUGGACAUGUAAGCAUAACAUUAAAACAUUACCAAACUUCUCUCCAUCUGCUUUUAUAACUUGAUGAUUAAUUUGUAAAUGGUUUUUAGGUUUGGGACUUGUGGAAGGAAAAUAGAGCCUUGGAAAUCAUUGAUUCAUCUUUAGGAGAAUCAUACCCUGUCAACAAAGUUCUAAGAUGUAUUCACAUUGCCCUCUUGUGCGUGCAAGAGCAAGCGAAGGAUCGUCCACUCAUGUCAGCAGUGGUUUCCAUGUUGGGUAAUGAUGCUGCAAUUCCUUCACCAAAGCAACCUGGAUUUUUGUUGAAGAGUGGUUAUCAUAGUAGUGGAGACCCAUCAACCAAUACUGAUGGAGCUUGCUCUGUAAAUGACAUGACCUAUACAGAAGCAGAAGGUCGCUAAGGGGAGAACCAGACGUAUAAUCAGACCGACUUAUAUUAUUCAAUUGAGAAUCACAUGAUGAGUGAGAUAAGAAGAGAGGAUAUACCCCGAUUUCACUCAAUAAUUUUCCUUAUAACUAGGGAUCUAAGUUCUAUAUUAAUAUGCAACACUCAUCAUCUGUCUUAUUGUAAAUACACGUUAUAAAAUAUAUGCCCUAUAAUUGGGGAUCUAAGUUCUAUAGCUGUUAUACUCAUCAUCUGUCUUGUUGUAAAUACAAGCUAUAAAUUAUUUGCAACAUUCAGCAUCAGUCCAACCAAGCUUGUGAAAUCCCGUUCCUGGAUUUCACUGUUAUAAUCUACAUGUUUGUAGUAUUGAGAUUUUAUAUUAUUUUUCAAGAAUUUAUAUUAAUUUAUUUGAAUUUAGAUUUCAAUUAAACUAGUUACGAAGAGUGAAGUUUGGAAAGUUAUUAUAUACUUGUUGACCUUUUGAGGUCAUAAGUAACGUUUUCGAAUAAAGCUUGAUCCCACGAAUGCAUAGGCGAAAGGCGUUUGCAAGUCUGGAUUAUAACGGUAUAGUUAAAGACGUUUGAAGUUGUGAUACUAUAAAUUUUAGGAAUUGAUUAUCUCCCACUUUGUGGGUAAGGGCCCAGAUAGAUAUGGGGUUAAGUGGACCAUCAGAAUUGAAAAAAAAAGGGGGGGGGGGGAAGCAACCAAUCAGGAAAGAGGAGGAAAGAAAUGAGAAAGAAAAAGGAAAAAGGAAGGAGGGGAAAAUGCCCCUUUCCCGUCGACCCACCCAACUAGGUUUGACCCGGUUCUAAUUCCGGCGGUUUCCGCUAUUUUUUCCGUCGAACCACCACCAACCAACAACUGCAACCUCUUCUACAACAUCUCAUCUACCAUUCCCACCCAAAAUCAUAGGAAAUUUAGUUGUAGUUUGGUGAAAAACACACCAUGGGUACCGUGGGAAACCUCGUCAUGAUUCAUCAUUUGUGAAACGAUUUCAUUCAAUUACCACCACCAUUAGACUCUCCUUGAACCCAGGAAUAAAGCCCAAACAACCUUGGAGACGUCGGAGCAAGUAUGGAGUUCGUAUUGAAGCACACCUAAUUCUAGGGUUCUGGAUGUUCGUGGGUGAUUUCAGGAGUUUCCAGGCCAAAUUGGCCUUAGCCAUAGGUAUAAAAAUUACUCCCCUCAUUGAGAUCUACAUGCCUGUAAAAUUUGGUAAUUUUUGGAAUUAGUUGAAUUUUCCGACAAGUCGGGGCGGCCGACUGCCAUGUGCGGCGGCGCAUAGGCCGAAGUAACCCCUGACCUUCCUAGGAUAAAUUUGAUACCCCAAUUCCAUAUGUGAAGUCUGAUUGACGAAAUCUCGUCAUAUGGUUAUAGAUUUGAUGGAGACCGCCACUUAGACAUUAUAUGAAUCGAUGAUUAGAUUGUUGGAUCGUCACCAAAAUUUAAUAUGUUAUAGUAUGUAAUAUUUGAGGAUAACAGGAACUUACGGAUUGGGAAUAGAUGUACGGAUCUUCCCGAAUUGGAUUUACAAGUUUGUAAAAUAAAACGUCGACAACCAUUUAAAUUCGUGAUUGGCGGAGAUCCGACCGUUUGAUCAUAAUGAAAUUUUAGUAUGUUAUUCUAGAAGCAUAAUGUGGACUUUGGGAAGUUAUGGAUCAGAAAUCUAAUGUGCGGAUCUUUAGGAUCGAAUUACGUAGAGUUGUGGACCCUAUCGUUGACAGAGAGUUGAUUUGUGGUCAACAUGUCUCGAAACGUUCUAAAUAAUAAAAUUAGUACUACGAGACUAAUUGAAGUCUAGUGGGCCUAUAUUGGUUAGAUAGUGACUUGAAUAUAUGAGAUAUGAUUAUUAUCUUGAUUUCUUAUGUUGGUAUCAUUUGUGAAUAUGAUUUGGUCUUAUAAAUAUGAUUUCUAUUGAAAUGUGAUUUUUAUAUAUUUAGCCAUAGGCCUAUGCUUAUUACAUAUGAUUUGGCUUGUGUACUGAUGAUGUUUGUGAUAUAUAUGUGUUUAAUUAUCUUUUUAAUAAUAUGAAUGAUAAUUAUGAUGAAUGUUAUGACAAGUAUGGGAUCUAAUUAUUGCUUGAUAAUUAUUUGGAUAUGAUUGCCAACUGAAUACCUAUUUGAACUUGGCAUUACUACCUAGUAUGUGAUAGGGAUGAAAGUCUGGAGAUGAGUUAGGUACUUUAUUAGAUUUUUUUAGUAGAAAUAGUAAUUAGGGGAAUUCCUUAUGAUGUGCUCCAUAUGACUAGAUGCUGGUUGAUAUGUGGAAUCGAUAGCGUGUAUACGUAUAAUUGGGUAUAAUGUAUGAGGCUAGAUAAGCCUUUUGUGUAGAGUAGGAAAAGAUAUGGUGAAAUGGGGUCGCCCUGUUGAAUCCCACGAGAGGGGAGGAGGUAGCCACAAAGACGACUGUUGAUGACAAAAGAGUACGAUACUGAGCAUACGAAUUCCAUCACCAGAUUGGUCUAAUUCAAUGAGAACCCCAUACGAACUAAAAUACUCUUGAGAUAAUCCCACUCAAUUCUGUCAUAUGCUUUGUUAAUGUCCAAUUUUAAGGAUAAAAACUCUUUUUUUCCUCGAUGGCGCUUCAUGAGGGAAUGGGAGAUUUCUGAAGCCAGAAUCAAAUUGUCUGAUAUCAUUCUUCCCGGAACAAAUGCGUUCUGAGCAGGAGAUAUGAUGUGGUUUAGAAUUCCUUUCAACCUAUUUGCCAUAACUUGGAAGCAAUCUUAAACAGGACGUUACAAAAGCUUAUGGGCCUGUAUUGAGAGAUAUCAUUAGGGUCAUUUACUUUGGGGAUGAGGCAAACAUGGGUGAAUUUUUUUUUUUAGUAACCUGUCCGAUUGGAAAAUGCAUUGGAUGGCGUUCGUCACAUUCGCUCCAACAAUGGCCUAAUAUCGUUAGAAGAAAAAAGGGGACAUUCCAUCGAGCCCCAGCACUGUUGAAGGUUGCAUAUUAAAGAUAGCAUCCCGAACCUCUUCAGCAGAUACAUGCAAAUCCAAUCUGAGAUUCAUCUCCGAAGUCACCCGACGAUCGAUGGUUUGGAGCACCUCCUCACCACCCCCCGUCGGACCAGCUUUAAAUAAGUCUUCAAAAUAGUUUAAGAUCGAGGACUCGAUACCCUUUUCAUCAGAAAUCCAAUUGCCAUUGCUACCAUAUAACCCUUUGAUAAGAUUUUUGGACUUGCGGUUUUUAGCCCGUUUGUGAAAGAAGCGAGUGUUCCUAUCGCCUUGGCUGAGCCAUAGAGAUCGAGAUUGUUGGUGCCAGUAAGUUUCUUCUUGACCCAAUAAGACAUCGAGACACUCCAUUGGAAGCUUCCUUUCAGCUAAGGCCGCCUCUGACAGUGGUUAAGCAAGAAUAAAACCAAGUUUCAAACGUAUUUCGUUUAUAUCCUCAAUACGUCCUUUGAAGACCAUAUGUUGCCACUUAAGAAGGGCAAUCCUGGUGGCCUUAAUUUUGUGGACCACUUGGAUGUGUACCCUGGUUACAGGACGACUUAAUGCCUCCUCUAUAACAUUCUCGCAGUUUUCGUGGGAGGCCCAAAACUUCUUGAAUUAGAAUCCAUGUCGACAUUUCCUCCUGGGAACAAGUUUCCCGUCUAUGAAGAGAAUAAUAGGAACAUGAUCAAGUUUUGUGGGAUCCAUAUGGUGAACUUUGGCAUUACAGAAUAAGAAUCUCCAUAGAGGGAAUGCCAAGACCACCCGGUCCAAACGUUCUUUUAUGCCUCCCGACUGCGUGGUGAUCCAGGUGAAUUAGUUUCCAGAGAAACCAAGGUCCAGGAGAUUGCAAUUAGACACCGCCAACCUGAAGUCGAGAAUCUGCUUGAUAGGCCUAGAUGGGCCGCCCUCAUUCUUGUUAGCGCUGAGAAGCUCAUUGAAGUCCCAUCUCAUAAUUCAGGGAGGGAACUAGCUGAUGCUAAAGAGCGAAGGAGGUUCCAGGUGGUUGCCUUUUCGGUUGUAAUCGGGUUGCCAUAAAAGCUAGUAAAUCUCCAGUGUAGAGGGUCGGUGUUGCAUCCAAUCUCUCAAUUGAUGUGAUUAUCAGAAGCAGAGAGAAUCCUUAAGUCAAUGCUGGAGUGCCAUAGCAAAUAGAGGCCUCACGCACUUCCUCGAGACUUGACACAAAAUGACCUGUCAAAACUUAACUUGAAUUUCAGAGACAAAAUACUAUGACGCGAAGAUUUGGUUUCACACAAGAAAACUAGGAUGGGAUCUUGCUACUUGAUGAUGUCUUGCAGUGCCUGAACUUUCCAGGGGUUCCUAAGCCCCCAGCAGUUCCAGAAUAAGAAUUUCAUGGUUUAUGAUGCGGUUGCACCCUGUUAACCGUCGCCAAUGAUGUCGAAGGUAGGUGAAUGUUCCUGCCCAGCUAGCCCCUAUUCUCAGCCUAUUCCAGCUCUUUAGAAGGGCUAAUAGCGAUGUCGCAAAGAUGAUCAGAAUCUAAAACCUCAUCGUCAUGUGCUGACCUGAGACAGGGGGAUUCAGCAUCCAUACGACUACCAGACCUGGAUUUGGAGCUACGAAGGUUCAGAUUUAAGAGAUAGAGGGGACGACCCUUUUUUAAGUUGAGGGAAAGUCGAGGUUUUUUGGUCAAGGGAGAGACCAAAAUUGACUUCACGCUUUUACCGUUGGAUUGCUCAGCCAGAUGAGAUGUAUGCUUGAGCUCAAGAUUGCUGAUGUGUAAUAAGUUGGUGCCAGGUGGAAAACAACCUUGGGCUAAGAACUUAGAGGGGCUGGUUUGAACAUGAUCUGAGGCUCGUAAAAACUCAUCCACAUCUUUUAAGGCCCAUAGAGGAAGCUUGUUGGGGUCACACUAGUUUUUUUUCCAAGGAAAGCCCAUUAACAGCUAUGGACAUGGUGUCGUUAGAGAAAGGGUUCUGUGAUUAAAAUGUGGCUGCCGAUCAGUACUGAUGAUAAGAGGGGACACGUACUUCUUUCUGAUGCAACAAUUGGAUCGUAGGGGGACAACGAGUUAGCAGUCGCAGUGAUGGCAGGUCUGACGGUCAGAGAAUUAUCGGUGUACUCUGCCAGUCUGGAUUGAUCAAGUUUGGCCUGUCUAGCCAGGAAUACGGUAGUCGGAAUGUCUGAAUCUUCGUCCAGCAGGUCGUAGAAACCAUAAUCGUCGAUUUCCCAUUUGCAUCUCCAAUGGUGCUUAUUAGCCCCAUCUCUGCUAAACAGCCUCGAAAUUGGGAAUAGUAGAAAACUCGCCCUAAACAGACUUUCGAUGCAAAAUGAUUGGUUGAAUCGGCUUUCACCAGACGGCAGAAUGGGAGUCGGACGAGGGCAGCCGCUUGAAUGACCUAGGCGACCAUACUUAUAGUAGAAAAUUCUGAAACCUUCAUAGCGUAGCCGAAUAGUAUAUGAACACAGCUUUGGGCAUGACACCGAGAAGCUGGUGAGCAAUGGUUUCGAGGUAUCAAAAUCGACUCGCAUGCGGAGAAAGCCUCUAAACCCCAUUUCCAGAGGAUCCUCAACCUCUAGAAUUUCCCCCAUCUUAAAACCCAGGCAUCUCACAUUCUUCAAGGUGCAUUAGUUCCUAGGGAUACCGUGCUCCUAGAUCCCAAUAAAUGGCCCUGUUAGGGAUUAUAUCAUCGAGAAAGUGAAAUGACGGCCAUAGUUUCACUGAGAAGGUAUAGUCCCUGAUGAACCAGGGAUUUCCUUCCAAAAGCCUCAUGGCGACAGCUUCUUCCCCAACUGUGAUAACAUACAAGUUUGCUUUUGCACAAAGAACGCGAAUAACCGCCAUCUUGUUCCAAGUAGAGCGAAUAACCUCCUUCACCACAGUCUGGGAAAAUUCAUGGUCAACGAUGAGUGCACAACGAUGAGUCUGCGAAUAACAUACAAGUGCCUUCGCCCAUGAGCGGUAGGUCUCGGGUUCGAGACUUGGGAGCAGCCUCUCCAUAAAUGGGGGUAAGGCUAGCCGACAUUCACCUCUCCCAGACCCUGCGUAAAGCAUUCUUACUAAAAUCACACUCAGUUAUUUUAAAUACUUCUAAACAAGCCCUAAAACACACCAAAAAAUAAAAACAAAACUGCAUAAUAAGAUGAGCAUUUCGGUUAACACGUACACCAAACAAUUGUAUUCAAAUGGCGGCACAUUUCCAGUACUAACAUAAUUUAGUCUAUCCACUUUGGUAACGUAAAGAAGAGGUAAACCAUGAAUUUAAACUUGGAGGCAGAUUGUCUGCCCUUUCUUUCCCAUGCCCUUCUCAUCCCUUUCUAUUUGUGCGGUCAUGGUUAAGCCACGUCAACAUUUUAUAUUCAUAUUGCUUUUUGUUUUAUUAUCUCUAUUAAAAAAUUAAUAUAAAAUAUUGACGUGGCUUAACCGUGAUCCUACAAAUAGAAGAAGAUGAGAAGGAUAUGGGAAAAAAAUGGCAGACAAUCUGCUCUUUUAAACUUUGGUACUUUGGCAGAAGAAAGCAAAAGAGUUAAAUAAAUUAUUGAACCAUGAAGGAGGUUGAGAUUUGUUUUUAUCUACACGAGCAAUUGAAAAGUCAAAAAGCAUGAGCUAACAAAAAUGGGUCGUCAUCACCAAGUUAGUUGGGUGACUUUUUCUUAUUAAUUUUGGAAGAUGGUACUAAAUUCAUAUUUUCUAUCUUGUUGAUCAAAAGGAAAAACUUAUAUGCCUCGGUUGAAAGUACAUUUAAAAUUGUUGAAAACAUUUUUAGUAAAAAUAUUUUUAAAAUCAAUUUUUUGUAAGAAAAAUUUCAAAUAAUUUUAGGCCCAAAAGUAUUUUUUUUACAAGUGUUUUCUAUUAUUUCAAAAAUACUUCCAAACGAGCUCAUAGUUAAUUAUAAACAUAAAUAGUUUUUUAAAAUAAUGUAUGAUCAUUAUCAUCUAUUCAUACAAAACACACAGAGUAAGGUAGCCAACCAAGAUAUACACAGUUGAAUGAUCCAUUUCUUGUGGGAAAGAAUCAUUUUCACACCAUUCUUAGUUCCAUGGUUCGAUUUCAGUCGUUACUCUUUGAUGGAUAUUUACAUAUACAAUCAAACUAUUUAGACACAAAAUUAAUUUACUUGAUAAGAUACUCUCUUAAAUAAGACAUGUAAUGUGUCCAAUUCUUGAUCAAAAUUAGGCUUUUAAUAUUCAAAGGCCGAGUGGCGUCACAAGAUUUAAUUAUGCAUGCAUGUCAUUUUCCUCAUGAAUUUUUCUUUUAACAAGAAAUGAUAGUAAUUUUCUAUUAACGAACGAUAGCAAAUAUUUAGGUUGUCGCAUGGAUACAAUUUCUAGUCACAAGACUCACAAAUAUAUGAUUUGGAGGUAGUUCACACAAACGAGCAAUAAUGCUAAUCCUUUAUUGGAUACCACAAGCGUGUGAACUAGCACAAGCACAAUCAGUACAAAUCUGCCACAAAGACGGCAGGUGCAACAUACUUAAUUAUACCAGUGCACCCAUAAUGUCACUGUCAUAUAAACGAGACCACAUUAAAUUAUCACUAACAAACUAGGCCACAUCAAAACCACCGCUACCAAAGUUUAUAAUCUUAUCAAUUAAAUGUCUUUAUUAAAUCUUUUGACAACAGAAAAGAAAGCGUCAUAAUUAAGAAAUUGAUUUAAUAACAGUGAGAUAUUAACGAGGCAGACCUUGCGUAGUUGCAUUAUAAAUAUGGAAGAAAACAUUCGACGGUAAUCCUAUCGACUAAAAAAAUUAAGCACGGAAUAUCUCAACAAAAAAUAAAAAAAAUAAAAAAAAGCACGGACUGCGUUUUAUUCAACCUAGAAAAUAAUAAACUGUGUUCUUUUGUCAACCGUGAAGUCGUAACCAAGUUAUUAAUCACGCUUGGAUCAGAGGGUUCACAUUUCAUGAUGCUUGUGUUGAUAUCGUUUGUGUUUCCUAAACAAAUUUGGACGGAGAACUUAAGGUCCGUCGAAACACGUUUACUUGGAAUGAUUUGAUCAAAGUUUAGCAGAGCGAGAAAUUUUUUAACUACGUGAUCAGUUAGUCUUACGAUGUUUUAUCUCUAAUAAGUAUAAAAUUUCUUAAAUUGACUUGGACGUUAUAGAAAGAUGAAAGUGAUAUAUUUAUACACUCAUAACUCAAUUUUACUUUACACAGAACUUUGUUAAUUGUUUGUUAUUGAUCUUCUUCGAUUCAUUUGAUUCGAAACUGAAAAUUAAAAGAGGUGUACAAAAAAUAAAAAUAAGUGCAUGAAUAGCACUAUCUUACUUAUAUUACUAGGUCGAGGAUCAUUGUGUCCCAAACUUGAUUAGAGGACUUGUCAAACUUAGCCUUAGUUUAGUACUAAGGUGAUUCUGAAAAAAAGUGGCUAUUAAAAAAAACUGGGAGUUUUUUUAUGUUUGGUAAACAUUCAGCUUUAGUUUUUUUUCACAGUUUUUGGUGAAAAAAACCCAAAAACACAAAGCUGCAAAACCCAGCUUUGAAAAACCAGUUUUUUUUUUACAUCUGUUUUACAUAAAAGUUUAUCAAACACUAUAAUAUUGUUUUUUUUUCAAAAGCACAUUUACAAAAAAGUUUAUCAAACACUCUGCUGCUUUAUUUCACAGCUGCUUAUUCUCAUAGCACAGCAGAAACAAUUUUUUUUUUAAAGUACAACAAUAUCAAACCAGCCCUAAUGUGAGAUUAGUGCUUUUGAAAUAUUUAGUGUAAUCAAAACACAAAGUGGUACUUUACAUGUCAUUAUCUAAUUAAAGAUUUUUUUUUAAUUAUCUCCUUAAUUGAAUAAUAAUAUAUGAUAUUUCACUCAUGUGCCACAUAUCUUGAAAAAUCUGUCGGGCCUUAUUGUAUGAAAGGGGGGGCGUGUAUAAUUGGUCACGUGACAAUAGGGGAAGAAACACGUGUAUUCUGAGUCGGCAAAUGUUUAUAGCUGGCAAUGUUGACUCUAAUAGGGGCAUUUAAGUAAAUUCCAUAGCAGAAGUAUAGUCGCGAAUCGCGAUUGAUUCCAUGCUUCAACUGUAGGGUAACUGUUGAGGUUAGAAACCAAAGGAAAAAAACAAAGUUACGAAAACACCCCCCCUGAAGUUUUAGCCAAAGACGGGACCUUUUUGUGUCGUUAAGUUGAAAAGCAGAUAAAUGAUGACUUUCUCCAAUAAAUACAGAGAUGCUAACUGGAUAGAUAAUUUCAGUGACCAAGCAAUUAACUUGGAUAGAGUUUGCACAAAAACACAAGAAGAGUAAAAUCCUUAAAGCAAAUAUGUCACAAAGUAUUAUAUACGCAACAAAUCCGAAUCGAUGUUUAGGGCAUCUAUACUCUAAUGAGAAAAUAAAAAUUUGUGAUAGAAAAAUCUUAUUUAUGUUUCUGAUAGAUGUAAAUGAAGCUAUACUCCAAUGAGAAUAAUGGAAAUUUGAGAUCCCAUUUAAUUUUGUCUCUUUGAUUAGCGGGACUCAUCACCAAAAUAUGUAAAAAAAGAAAUAAAUUUAAGUUUAUAUUUACAUUUUUCGACGAAGAUGAUAAUUUAUAUUUCACCAUUGGAUAAUUUUCCAGCAAAGAAAAAAAUUAUAAAAUGUCCAUUUCAAAGUACUUUUGAGAGAUGCCCUUGAGAAGAAAACUUACUUACCGUUAUAAUUGUUUAGUAAUCUGAAAUAAUUGUAUACCGUUAUGCAUUUUAGAAUCCAAUUAUGUAAAUAAUCAUUCAAUAUUAUGUGCUAAAAUCUAGUUAUGUAAAGAUAUGUGAUUAACUCGAGAUACAAUAGUUAUAACAUUCCAAAUUGCGAAUAAUCUGGUAGUUCUCGAAACAAAGAAAGAAAAAAGAAAAUAAAAACUAACGAAAAGUUCUCAAAAACUUUAGUUUUUAAUCAAAAGGACAAUAUAAAUUGUAAGUGAAUAGUACCAGAAGUGACUUUUCAAGGUAAAAAAUGUCAUUCACGUUAAAAGUGAACAGUACUAGGAGUGUUUGAUUAAGAUUCCAAAAAAAAAAACACUUUUGAAAACAAAAUGUGAGAAGGGUGUAAUAGUAAUUUCAUCAGGUGUAUUACAAUUGUUAUUUUUCUUUUUUGGCAUGAAAAUGCGUAUUAAUGUGUUGUGAGUGUAGGAUUUGGUGGUGAAAGUCUCUCUCUCUCUCUCUCUCUCUCUCUCUCUCUCUCUUCGCUCGAAGUCUUGAAGUCUUGAAUUCUCAAAGACACUCCACCAGUUGAGCACCCAAAAACCUCGUAAACCCUUUUUCUUCCAUUUCAUUUCUUUACCGAGUGACGCGAGCGAGUUAAGAAAUGGCGACUCAGUUACCGGACGAUUUCAAGUGCCCAAUUUCCCUCGAAAUAAUGUCCGACCCGGUUAUACUCUCCUUACGUCACACCUUAGAUAGGCACUCCAUCUAAUCUAAGUGUUGGACAAAAGAAUUUUUCCUGCACGAAAGUAUAUGCUCUUUUGUUUUAUUAGAAAUUGAAUUAGUUAAUUACUUGAAAUAUAGUUUUUUUAUUUUAUUUUAUAAUAUUUUCCGAGUUUCUGGAGGCAUCGACAAAGUCAAAUAUCCCUAACGGGGAUGUGGAUACCUCAUCGUUUGGCCAUAACCCAUAAGCACCUGACUUUUCCUGCAAUUAUGUUUAAGCACAUUGCACUCUAUCUUUAAAAUAAUAACAAUAAUAAUACAUCACUGUAUAUUUUUAAGUUAAGGGUGGAGCUAUCCACCUACCUUUUUUUUAUCUUUGACGUAUAUUUCUUAAUUUUUAAUCGUCGGAUUAUAUGAAUUAAAAAUGAUGAAAAUACAUAAGGUAAUAAAAGAUGUGUAAAAAGUAAAAAUAAAAAAUGUGUGGAUAGCAAAUUAACAACAUCCUAAAUUAAUAUCAACCUUACUUAGUUAUUACACCCAAUAAUCAAGUAUAGGAUGGAUUUGUGCUAGAAUUCUUGAUAUUGUCAAGGUCAAGCCAUGUAUUUGGAUCAAUAUGUUUUCAAUCUAGAAAAAAAUUAUGUUGAAAAUGAAAAUUUUGAGUGAAAUAUAUUGAUUUUUCCUAUAGUAUAAAUACGUGUUAAGUACGAUGACCUAUGAAUGACAUAUGACUUACAUUAUGAGGAUUGUAUUUCCACAUGAGUGUGUUAGGUAUCUAUUUAUAUAUACAUAUAUUUAAUAUUUCUAAUAAUACAAAUCAAAAAAAUUAUAUAUAUACAUAUAUUAAAUAAAAACAUAACUGCUCCAACAUGUAUGCCUGGAAGUUGCGGGUAAGUUCACGUUGCAUCGACUGGAAAUCGAGGGCGCGUUUGCCGUUGCAUCGACAACUGGAAGUCAAGCGUAUGCCCUUAAAUUAGCGUUACUGAAACUCAAUCAAAGAAAAAGAAAAUCCAACCUUUCCGGCUUUUUGUUUCUGCAUGUCGAAAGAAGCAGCCAUUUUAGCACUUAAACUCCUCCAUGAGAAAGCUAACAAUGAAUUCUACUAAAUUCUUUUUUGUCAGUACUGUAUUGUUCCUCUUCCUUGUGAUUCUUCCCUCUUCCAUUUCGGUUACCCUAGACGCCAUUACACCAAACCAACCCCUAAGAGAGGGCGACGUUCUUCUCUCCACCACUGAAUUCUUUGCACUAGGGUUUUUUAAGCCAGGCAAUUCUCAUAACCGUUACAUCGGAGUUUGGUACAACAAAAUUCCAAUCAAAACCAUUGUCUGGAUUGCAAACAGAGAAAACCCCAUAGUUCCUACUGCUGGAACUGGACUUCUAGCCAUUCAUGCAGAUCAUGGUGGCCUUGUUAUGUAUGGGGAGGACCAAAAUACCCCUUUCUGGUCCACUAAUCUCACCGUCUCUUCUCCAAACAAUUCCGUGAUAGCCAAGCUUUGGGAUACGGGAAAUCUUGUUGUAGUUGAAAUUAAUGGCGGUAGUAGUGAAAAGGUGUUGUGGCAAGGUUUUGAUUAUCCCACAAAUACGAUGCUUCCUUUUAUGAAACUUGGGCUGGACAGGCGAUCCGGGUUGAACUGGUUCCUCACAUCUUGGAAGUCCCAAGAUGACCCGGGAAUGGGCAACUGCUCGUACCGGAUAGAGACAAGUGAGAGUCCACAGGGGUUCUUAUACAUGGGUCAGACUCCAUUGUGGCGGACUGGACCUUGGAUCGGUGAAAGAUGGUCCGGGGUGCCUCAAAUUAAAAAAACUUUCUACUCCAACGUUACUUUUGUGAACACUCAAGAUGAGGUAUCCAUCAUGGAUGGUACUGUUUAUGAAUCAAUCUUCUUUAAAAUGGUGAUCAAUGAAUCAGGAAACAUUGAACGGUCCGCAUGGCAUGAUAAUAAAUGGGUCCCGUAUUGGUCGCCGGAUCGGCAGUGUGAUUUUUACGGGAAGUGUGGUCCGAAUAGCAUUUGUUACCCAAACCCAAACUUUGCGGAUAAAUUUGAGUGCAAAUGCCUACCUGGAUUCGAACCCAAGUUGCAACAUGAGUGGUAUUUGGGAGAUUGGUCAGGCGGGUGCGUGAGGCAAAAAGGAUCAUCCGUUUGCCAAAACGGGGAAGGGUUCUUGAAGUUGGAAAGUGUGAAGGUGCCGGACACUUCUACGGCACGUGUGAACAUGAGUAGGAGUGGGGAAGCAUGUAAAGAAGAAUGCCUGAGAAAUUGUUCUUGCACGGCAUACGCAAAUGCAGAUGAAAGGCAGGGAGGGAGUGGCUGUAUAACAUGGCAUGGCGACUUGAUUGACACGAGGACCUUUUUGUAUACGGGUCAAGAUUUGUAUGUGCGAGUUGAUGCAAAUGUUUCAGGUAUAUUUCCAUUAUCAAUUUAUCUUCUUUCUUCUCUUUUCCUUAUCAAUAAUUCCUCUUAUAACGCCGAGGUUCCAUGAAAAAAAAGAUCUUCUUUCUUUAUGUCAUUAACAAAUUUGAGGAAUUAUUAUUUAGUUUGGUAGUUGUACGUUUGUUAUCAUUCUAAAAAAAAUCAUUUGGCACUGGUCUCUUGCCAAAUAAUAAAAGUGAAAUUGUUUCGUCAAGAGUGUAAGAUGACUUUUUUAGAGUACUAAUUUUUUUUAUAAAAAAUUCAGAAAUAUCUAUAAAUUAAUACUAAAAAUUUAGUUCUUAUGUUCAUUGGAGCUUUUUACAGGGUUUUUUUUUUCCCGAAUUUUUACAAGGUUUUUUAAACAUGGAAAUAAAUGCGUGUAUAUCUGCAGCUCAAUACGCAAAGAAGUCAAACAGUUCUUUUGGCAAGAAGAGGAAGCUGGAAGUUUCAGUAGCAUGUGGUCUAUUGUUCUUCCUUUUGUUUUCCCUUGCAUGUUGGUUGGUAAAGAGGAAGAGAAAAGGUAAACAAAUUUCCUUUUACUAGGUUGCCCUCUAAUCAUUCACAAUUAUGUAACUGGAUAUUGGUUUUAAUUAUUUAAGAACACAAUAUUAUUUAUUUAUGUACUUUUAUCACAGGUAAGAGAAGUCAGGAUAAACUUUUCAAUGUGACCAUAGCAUCAACCUCCUGGGAAGAUUCUUCUGCUAGAACAAAUAUUGAUGAAAGUGGAAUAAACUCUGAAUUACCAUUCUUUGAACUAAGUACCAUAGUUAAAGCCACACAUAAUUUCGCUUCCAACAACAAGCUUGGAACAGGUGGUUUCGGCUCCGUUUAUAAGGUGCGUAGUUGCCCUGAGAUAAUGUCUCAAAUCAUAAAUCAGACUUUGAAUAGACAUUUUUUAGAUUUAUUUUUUAGCCAUCUGCACUCCAAAUCAAUUAUUUUAUUAUUUUUUCCUCUACUCACCCUUGUAGUUAGGCCUGGCAAACGGGUCGUGUCUGUCGUGUUCUUGUCGUUUUCGUGUAGCACCUGUUAUCUUAACGGGUCGUGUUGUGUCAUACAUGUUAUCUUAACAGGUCCUUAACAAGUCGGGUCGGGUAAAGUGACCCGACCCGUUAAGAAAAAUAUAUUUUUUUUCUUAAAUUUGCACAUACCACACUUUGCCACAUAAAUAUUACUUCAAAACAUUAAAACACAUAAUUUAAUAUAUAUAUAUAUAAUUAUUUUAGUUUUUAGGGGUAUAAAAUUGUUAAAUUAAUAUAUAUAUAUAUAUAUAUAUACAUAUAAUUAUUAUAGUUUAUUCAUACUUUCAUUAAGUAUAACAUAAGAUUUUGUGGUAUCCACUAAUGUAAUUUUUUAAAUUGAAGAUCGAAUUCAUUCAUUGUAUUCAUAUAGAGUCAAGGAGUGUAACUGUAAAAAAUCAUCAAAAUCGGAGUUAAAAUAACCGUUAAAUAGUGAUUUUUCGUUUUAUAAUCGUCGAAAAGUUUUGUCUCGUUACUUGAUCUCUGAAUGUUUGUUCUUUGCAAUUUUUGGCGUAUGCGAUCUCGAAGUAUAUACAAACAUGUAUGACAGUUGGAUUGUUGAAACUAGUUUCGUAUAAUGCGUAUCCUAUCAAAACAAUAGAUUCACUAACACUUAGUUUAUUCUUACUUUCAUUAAGUAUAACAUAAGAUUUUGUGGUAUCCACUAGUAUAAAUAUUUUAAAUUGAAGAUUGAAUUCAUUCAUUAUAUUCAUAUAGGGUCAAGGAGUGUAGCUGUAAAAAAUCAUCAAAAUCGGAGUUAAAAUAACCGUUAAAUCGUGAUUUUUCUUUUUAUAACCGUUGAAAGGUUUUGUCCCAUUACUUGAUCUCUAUAUGUUUGUUUUUUGUAAUUUUUGGUGUAUACGAUCUCGAAGUAUAUACAAAUAUGUUUGACGGUUGGAUCGUUGAAACUAGUUUCGUAGAAUGCAUAUCCCAUCAAAACAAUAGAUUCACUAACACUUAAGAGUUUAUUCAUACUUUCAUUAAGUAUAACAUAAGAUUUUGUGGUAUCCACUAGUGUAAAUAUUUUAAAUUGAAGAUCAAAUUCAUUCAUUGUAUUCAUAUAGGGUCAAGGAGUGUAGCUGUAAAAAAUCAUCAAAAAUGUGAUUUUUCUUUUUAUAACCGUUGAAAGGUUUUGUCCCGUUACUUGAUCUUUAUAUGUUUGUUUUUUGCAAUUUUUGGCAUAUGCGAUCUCGAAGUAUAUACAAACAAGUUUGACGGUUGGAUCGUUGAAACUAGUUUUGUAGAAUGUGUAUCCCAUCAAAACAAUAGAUUCACUAACACUUAAGAGUUUAUUCAUACUUUCAUUAAAUAUAACAUAAGAUUUUGUGGUAUCCACUAGUGUAAAUAUUUUAAAUUGAAGAUCGAAUUCAUUCAUUGUAUUCAUAUAGGGUCAAGGAGUGUAGCUGUAAAAAAAUCAUCAAAAUCGGAGUUAAAAUAACCGUUAAAUAAUGAUUUUUCGUUUUAUAACUGUUGAAAAGUUUUGUUCUGUUACUUAAUCUCUGAAUGUUUGUUUUUUGCAAUUUUUGGCGUAUGCGAUCUUGAAGUAUAUACAAACAUGUUUGACGGUUUGAUCGUUGAAACUAGUUUCGUAGGAUGCGUAUCCCUUCAAAACAAUAGAUUCACUAACACUUAAGAGUUUAUUCAUACUUUCAUUAAGUAUAACAUAAGAUUUUGUGGUAUCCACUAUUGUAAAUAUUUUAAAUUGAAGAUCGAAUUCAUUCAUUAUAUUCAUAUAGGGUCAAGGAGUGUAGCUGUAAAAAAUCAUCAAAAUCGGAAUUAAAAUAACCGUUAAAUUGUGAUUUUUAGUUUUAUAACUAUCGAAAAGUUUUGUUCAGUUACUUGAUAUCUGAAUGUUUGUUUUUUGCGAUUUUUUAAUGGUGCGAUCUAGAAGCAUAUACAAAUAAGUUUGACGGUUGGAUCGUUGAAAUUAGUUUUGUAUAAUUCAUAUCCCAUCAAGUUCAAUGGUAUAUAUAUAUAUAUAUAUAUAUAUAUAUAUAUAUAUAUUAAGUAGAUUUAAUUCUAUUUAUUUUGUACGUAUAAUUAUUAUAGUUUUUUGGGGUAUAAAAUUUAAUUUAAAAUUAUAUAUAUAUAUAAUUAUUAUAGUUAAUAUUUUGGGGGUAUAAUUAUUAUAGGCUUUUUAUAUUAGCACCCCACAAAAUGUUGAAUGCACCCCAUAUUAAAAUUUAAUAUUAAAUGACUUAUUUACUCCACUAUGCAAUGACAAUUUUGACCUUAUUAGGUUUUAAAAAAAAUAAAAAUUUAUAAAUACACCUCAAAUCACUUUUAGCAUAUUAUUUAUUUUCUCAACUAUCAAAACCCUUUCAUCUUCCAUUGUUGAAUAAAACUCUAACCAAUGAAACUACAAACAUGUUGAUUGAGAAAAAUUGUUUUUGACGAAUGGAAUACAAAAUCGAUGUUUCUGAAGCUUUACAUGAGAUAAGACUUCACAUUUUUCAUUGUUUUAGUGAUUUCGAUGACAUCAAUAAUUAUUUAAUCUUGCGUUUGCCGCAUUAUUUAAACUUCUAUAUAUUCAUAUUCAUCUUUUAGGGUUCAUAUUAAUCUUGCGAACCUAGUAACAUGAGUCGUAUUAGUGCUAGAGUCAUAUACUACUUUUACAAAUUGACGAUAGCCAUUCUCCACAUGAACUCCUACUCUCAAUCUUUAGCUGUUUGAUUGACGUACAUUUCUCAUUGUGAGUUUUUCUUUCUUUUUUCUUCUUCUUUUCUUGUCACUGGGAGAUGAUCAGUGGAAAAUGAGGAGAGACAUGGCCUAUAUUUAAAGAAAUCUGAGACCGAUUCAGUUUUGAUUUAUUAAUUAACUUCUACACCUGGAUCAUUAGCAGAGAGAGGGUCUUUAUUUAUUUUGUUCAAGACUAAGUCUAAAGACUUGUGAAAUAUAUAUAGAAGCAUUCUUUGUUAGCAGUAACGAGAGAGUCUUUUUUUUUUCUUUUUUUUUACUCGAAAAGACUCAGCACCACGGGUCAUUUUUAAGGCUUUUUAGAAGUUGAAUAAGAUGAUUUCAAACUAUACUAAGAUGAUUUCAAAUCAUCAUUUUGAAAUCAUUCGGUAAACUAAACGUUCAGAUGAUUUGAAAUAUUUUGACAAAUUAAACGUUCAAAUGGUUAGAUUCAAUCCCUGAAAAUUAAAAAUGAGUGUUAUAAGAUUUGAGAAAUGUGGGGUGUAAAGAAAAUGUGGGGUGUAUGUACAAAAUAUAAGAUGUAUAUUGAGAAUGUGGGGUGUGGGGGUAUUAUGGGAAAGUAUGUGGGGUGUAUUUAGAUAAUUUUUAAGUGAAAAAGCAAAUAUGGGGUGUAUUAAGUAUGUGGGGUUUAUUCAACAAUUUGUGGGGUGUUAAUAUAAUUAGCCUUAUUAUAGUGUAUAUAAUUAUUAUAAUUAUUAUAGUUAAUUUAAUAUAUAUAUAUAAUUAUAGUAUUUUUUAGGGUUAUAAAAUUAUUAAAUUAAUAUUCUGCUUAUCGUGUAUCGUGUUACCCACGUAUAUACCCGAACCAACCAGUUAUCUUAACAGGUGAUUAUCGGGUUACCCGAUAACGACCCGAUUCGUUAUCGUGUCGACCCGAACACCUGUUAAUUUCGUGUUGUGUUGUGUCGAGUUAUUGGGUCGUGUCAGGAAUUGCCAGGCCUACUUGUAGUUUAAACAAAAGAACAUAAUGAAUAAAUCUUGCAGAGAAAGAAAUAGAAUCAAGAAGAGAGAGGGAGCAAGAUUUAUAGAGAGAGAGAGAGAAAGAGAAUCAAGAAGAGAGAGGGAGCAAGAUUUAUAGAGAGAGAGAGAGAGAGAGAGAGAGAGAGAUUUUAGACAGAAAAAGUGAAUCUUUGUUAAUGGUUUCAGAAAAAAUACAAGGUAGUGAUCCAUAAGGAUAUAUAUCCAAACUAUAUUGCUUACAAGCUAAGCUAACAUUUAGCUCACAGGUUAUUGACACUUGCAAACAAUAUUACAGUUAACAAAAAUCAAGAGACCCGUCCAAUAAAGACUGGAAAGGCUGACUCAAAAAUAUAUUUCAUUAAAAUUCAUACCCAAUCAAUAAUCGAUAAGUGAUGGGAACUAUCUUGUUUCGACUUUUCACAAUUAUCCCACACGGUGAUGCGGGUUUUGAAAUUGUAUAAAACACAUAGAAAGUUUUAAAUCUAUAUAUGAUAAGCCAUACUACUUAUAUACAUGUGGAAAUCUAUUCACAAACCUAUUCCUAAGCCAUACUAAUUAUAUAUAAGUGAUGGUUGCAUGGUAUUGAUCUUCUACACAAAAAAAGCAAACGUUUUCCACCCUAGGAAAUUGUUAAGCACCUAUCAAACUAAUUAAUUGGAAACAGUAUGGUGCUUCCCAAUCUAAAGAGUCAAUGACACUAAAGCAGCAGAUUAGUGAAUAGAUUAGCGAAUAGUUAAUUAUGAUUUGUUUUGGGUCCAAAGAAACCUUGUUAGGUGAUGGUGAAUCAAUAUGAAAGUAAACAAUGCCGAUUUCAAAAUGGAUACUAAAGAGCUAUUCAUCCGCAUAAGUAAAUACAUACCAACAGAAAAGUGGGCUAAUCCAACCAAUCUCACCAAUGGACAUUGUCACCCGAGCAAUUCGGACUAAAUCUUUGAUGAAACAAAAAAAUGCUGAGGAAAAUGAUCAUUACCCAAAAUUCCAUUCUGAACAAAUAUAUGGACCAAUCUGAAGUAAGACGAAGAAUUAUGACAUGAAAAACUUAAUAAAACCCAAUUUGAACGAAGAACUCAAUCUGAAGCAGAUUUUCACAUGCAAUAGUUCUAGAAGAUGCCUAAGAUGACAAGGAGUCAUUUGAGACCAUCAACUCAACCCCAUUCGAACGCAAUCCCAAAAUCAAAAAGGACAAAAUGGGCAAACAAAAUCAAAGCAUUUUUAUGUACAUGCAUUGAGUUUUACUCCUUUGUUAAUGUAUAAAUGCAAUUUCAAGGGGAGGAUAUAUAUAUAGAGCUACGAUUAUGUUGAUAAUUUUCUUGAAAGGUAAGUGCACUAUAAGUUGAAUUUGGAUUAUAAAUUCAGGGUGUGCUUGAUAAUGGAAAGGAGAUAGCAGUGAAAAGACUAGCCAAGAAUUCUGGCCAAGGAAUUGGAGAGUUUAAGAAUGAAGUUGUGUUGCUUUCAAAGCUCCAACACAGGAACCUUGUGAGGAUCAUGGGUUGCUGCGUUCAAGAUGAAGAGAAGAUGCUGAUCUAUGAAUACUUGGCAAACAAAAGUCUUGACUUUUUCAUUUUCGGUAUGUCUUUCUUUUACUUUUGUUCUUCUUUUUAUACAAGCAAUAUUGUGGAGGGGAAAUCGAGCUCAGGACCUCGGGUGCAGGAUUGAAUGCUCUAAACUCAACUCGGUUACAAGCACCUUUCUUUUCACUUGUGUAUCUAAAAUUGUCGGUUAAAAACCUUGAACCAAGCAAGAAUACAAUCUAAUUUACUUUGCUUACUUUUUUCCCAUACGAAGCAAAAGAGGCGUUCUUGGAUUGGACAAGACGCCUUGAGAUAAUAUGUGGGAUUGCUAGAGGGAUUUUAUAUCUUCAUCAGGAUUCAAGAUUAAGAAUCAUCCAUAGAGAUCUAAAGGCCAGCAAUGUUUUGUUGGAUUCUGCUAUGAACCCCAAGAUUUCAGAUUUUGGUAUGGCUAGGAUAUUUGGAGCUGAACAAAUUGAAGCAAAUACAAACCGUGUGGUUGGGACAUAGUAAGUUUCAUUCAAGACUAAAAGUACACCUGUUUUUUACAAUUUUCAUCCCUAUUUCACAAGGCCACAAACGUGAGUACAACUUUUGUUGAAUACUACAGAAAGAAGCUGUGAUACUUAAUCAAUUUUAUUUUGUUGCUUCAGCGGUUAUAUGUCACCAGAGUACGCAAUGGAAGGAUUUUUUUCAGUAAAGUCUGACGUAUAUAGCUUUGGCGUUUUACUACUAGAAAUUGUUACUGGCAGAAAGAACACUAGCUACUACCACGAUAGUUCUUACUCAAAUUUAGUUGGACAUGUAAGCAUAACAUUAAGACGUACCAAACUUCUCUCCGUCUGCUUUUAUAACUUGAUGAUUAAUUUGUAAAUGGUUUUUAGGUUUGGGACUUAUGGAAGGAAAGUAGAGCCUUGGAAAUCAUUGAUUCAUCGCUGGGAGAAUCAUACCAUGUCAAUGAAGUUCUAAGGUGUAUUCACAUUGCCCUCUUGUGCGUGCAAGAGCAAGCGAAGGAUCGUCCACUCAUGUCAGCAGUGGUUUCCAUGUUGGGUAAUGAUGCAGCAAUUCCUUCACCAAAGCAACCUGGAUUUUUGUUGAAGAGUGGGGACCCAUCAGCCAAUACAAAAGGAGCUUCCUCUAUAAAUGACAUGACCCAUACAGAAGUAGAAGGUCGCUAAGGGGAGAACUAGACGAAUACUCGGAAAUACCAUCAUUGAAUUUAGAGUACGAUCACGUGAUAAGUGAGAUAAGAAUAGAUGAUAUACUCCGAUUUCACUCAAUAAUUUGCCUUUUAAUUAGGGAUCUAAGUUCUAUAUCUACAACACUCAUCAUCUCUCUUGUUGUAAAUACAUGCUAUAAAUUGUGUGCCUUAUAACUAGGGAUCUAAGUUCUAUAUUUGCAAUACUCAUCAUCUGUCUUGUUGUAAAUACAAAAUAUAAAUUAAUUGCAACACUCGUCAUCAGUUCGACGAGGCUACAUAAAAGUACUUUCUAACCGCCAUAGACAUUUAGGAGGGCUGAGAACUUUGUGGCUCAAGGUUUUAGAAGCAGGCAUACUCAGACACUAAUCAAGCCACGUGUCAACUAACAGUCAAGACUCAAAAACAAAAGUCUAGAGCGGGACAUGAAGCUGGUCUGGCCUGCUCGAAGUGACAUGACUAAUUAAUCAAGGCCUAGCGGGACGCUCGGCACACAUUGGACAUUUGGAUGUUAUGAUAAUUUAGUGUUAGAAAUGAUAAUUUAGAGCUUGAAUAUUGUUCACUAUCACAUGUGCUAGUAUAUGCUUCAAAAAAUUUUAGAGGCAAAAUAUUGUUAAAAAUUAUGAUGCUCUUAUUUGUACGGUGAUUUAUACAAAACACUGUAUUAAUGGUGAUAUUUACAUAAAACUAUAUCAUAGUGAUUAGCGAAUAGUGAUUUCUACAUAAAAUUAUAUUAAAAAUAUUUGAGAUGGUAGUCAAAUCUUAUGCAUAAACUCUGUUGUGAUAGUGCAAAAGUUUUUACAGAUUAGAAAUAGUCCAAAAUUGUUUGAGUGCGGUAUCGGGCUCGAAUUUUUUAACCUCACUCUUGCUCAUCUCCCAUAAGAAUCAAGUCAAGCUUACCCGCAAGCUCGAAAAAAUUAAAUAAGCCAAAUUUAAACAUAAUAGUAUUCAGUUCGGCUUGACUAGUUUGCAGUCCUACAUUUAUUUAAAACACCCCUCUGAAUUAUUACCCAAAGACGGGACCUUUUUGUAUCUUUAAGUUGAAAAGCUGAGUGAAUUAUGACUUUCUCCAAUAAAUCCAGAGAUGAUAAUUGGAUAGAUAAUUCCACUGACCAAUCAAUUAACUGUUGGAAAAUAUUAGUAUUUUGGUUUAUUUGAAUGUUUGGUUUUAUGGGUUUAGCCCGUUAGAAUUAGGUUUGUUAGAGAUUAGGGUUAAUUUAUUAUAAAUAGGGUGCUUUGUUAUUCAUUAGAGAACAAGUUAGCCACAAUGUAGUCUCUUAGGGUUUUGUAGCCGUUUCGGCAUUCUCGUUUGUUUAAUAAUAUUCUUAUUAUUUGUUAGUCUUGUUCGUUGCGCACUCUGAUAUUCAACUUGGUAUCAGAGCGGGUUCGAUCCUUAGGGUUCAACCCGUUCUCAUUGGUAUCAAUUUGUUUGCCUUUGUCGUCGUUCGUUUUAGAUUUGUUAGUUGGUAUUGAUUGUUUGCAAGGAAAAGAAAAAUGAAAGGAAAAAAAAAAGUUUUGCUUGCAGAGGAGAAGAUUCCCCAGCAAAUAAAAAAAUGGAACUUUAACGAAAAGCACCCGGUACUGUUCACUUUAACGAAAAACCACAUUUUUACACUAAAAAGUCAAUCCUGGUACUAUUCACUUUACCCUUUAUUUUGUCCUUAUCAUUAAAACUCAAAGUUUUCAAGCCCUUUUCAUUAGUUUUCCUAUAAAAAAAAGGGGACGAAGGAGAAAAGAAGAAAAAGAAGGAAAAAAAAGAGGAACCACGGAAAGGAAGAAGAAGGAAGAAAAAAAUGGGAAAAAAAAAGGAAGGAAAAAAAUAUGGUUGUUUUGUGGUCCGUGUAUUCUUGCAUUGGGCAUGGUAACUUGAACUUGGAAUGGAAAUUUGGCAUCGACAUUGGUAUCGGCAUCGGCAUUGGUAUUGGCAUCAGCAUCGGAAUCGGCAUUGGAAUCGGCAUUGGAAUCGGCAUCGGCAUCAGCAUUGGUAUUGGCAUCGGCAUCAGCAUUGGAAUUUGAAGGCUUGCAUCCACAUCUGCUUGUUGGCAAACUCAUGUCGUCUACCGCCAUGAGUUUGAUAGGGGGUGUUGGAAAAUAUUAGUAUUUUGGUUUAUUUGAAUGUUUGGUUUUAUGGGCUUAGCCCGUUAGAAUUAGGUUUUGUUAGAGAUUAGGGUUAGUUUAUUAUAAAUAGGGUGCUUUGUUAUUCAUUAGAGAACAAGUUAGCCACAAUGUAGUCCCUUAGGGUUUUGUAACCGUUUCGACAUUCUCGUUUGUUUAAUAAUAUUCUUAUUAUUUGUUAGUCUUGUUCGUUGCGCACUCUGAUAUUUAACUUUAACUUGGAUAGAGUUUGCACAAAAACACAAGAAGAUUAAAACCCUUAAUGCAAAUAUGUCACAAAAUACUAUAUACGUGACAAAUCCGAAUCGGUGUUUAGGGGCAUCUCUAAUGAGAAAAUACAAAAUUUGAGAGGAAAAAUCAUAUUUACGUUUCUGAUCGAUGUAAAUGAAGCUAUACUCCAAUGAGAAUGAUGAAAAUUUGAGAUCCCAUUUAAUUUUGUCUCCUUGAUUAGUGGGACUCACCACCAAAAGAUGUAAAAAAGAAUAUAAAUUUAAGUUUUUAUUUACAUCCUUCAACGAAGAUGAAUAAUUUAUAUUUCGCCAUUGGAUAAUUUUUCAGCAAAGAAAAAAAUAUAAAAUGUCCAUUUCAAAGUACUUUGAGAGAUGCCCUUGAGAAGAAAAGCUUACUUACCGUUAUAAUUGUUUAGUAAUCUGAAAUAAUUAUUUACCGCUAUGCAUUUUAGAAUCUAUUGUGUAAAUAAUUAUUCAAUGUUAUGUGCUAAAAUCCAGUUAUGUAAAGAUAUGUGAUUAACUCGAGAUAGAGUAGUUAUAACAUUCCAAAUUUCGAAUAAUCUGGUAGUUCUCGAAACAAAGAAAGAAUGAAGAAAAAAAACCUCUGAAAACAAAAUGUGAAAAGGUGUAAUAGUAAUUUCAUCACUGUAUUACAAUUGUUAUUUUUCUUUUUUGGGCGUAUUAAUGUGUUGUGAGUGUAUGAUUUGGUGGUGAAAGUCUCUGUCUGUCUCUGUCUGUCUCUGUCUGUCUCUCUCUCUCUCUCUCUCUCUCUCUUCGCUCGAAGUCUCAAAAACACACUCCACCAGUAGCACCCGAAAACCUCGUAAACCUUUUUCUUCCAUUUCAUUUCUUUACCGAGUGACACGAGCGAGCGAGUUGAGAAAUGGCGACUCGGUUCCCGGACGAUUUCAAGUGCCCAACUUCCCUCGAAAUAAUGUCGGACCCGGUUAUACUCUCCUCGGGUCACACCUUUGAUCGGGCCUCCAUCCAACGCUGGCUCGACGCCGGUCACACCCGGUUACAAAAGGGUUGAUUGCUAUUGCACUUGUUCAGUUCGUUCUUCUGAUCCGGUGCUGCGCUUCAAUCGAUAGUAUAACAACUGAUCAAGCGAUCAGGGAUGGCGAAGUUCUAUUCUCUAGUGGAGAAGUGUUUGAGCUUGGUUGAUCUUCAGCCCCAGAAAAUCUACGAACACUAUGUUGGAAUCUGGUAUAAGAAAGAUGUAGAAAAAAGAGUUGUAUGGGUUGAAAACAGAGACAAUCCUGUCAAUGACACUUCAGGAAUCCUCUCAACUGGUGCAAAUGGUAACCUCUUCCUCUAUGCCGAAAACCAAAGCGAUAUUCCCCUCUGGUCUGCCAUAUCCAAUGUUUCAAUCGCAUCAUUACCAUCCAAUUCCACACAUGAGCCUAAUUACAAAGCUCAGCUCUUAGAUACUGGAAAUAUUGUGGAGGGGAAAUCGAGCUCAAGACCUCAGGUGCAGGAUUGAAUGCUCUUAACUCAACUCAGUUACAAGCGCCAUUCUUUUCACUUAUGUAUCUAAAAUUGUCGGUUAAAAGCCUUGAACCAAGCAAGAAUACAAUCUAAUUUACUUUGCUUACUUUGCUAGUGGGAUCUUAUAUCUUCAUCAGGAUUCGAGAUUAAGAAUCGUCCAUAGAGAUCUAAAGGCCAUCAAUGUUCUGUUGGAUUCUGUCAUGAACCCUAAGAUUUUAGAUUUUGGUAUGGCUAGGAUAUUUGGAGCUGAACAAAUUGAAGCAAAUACAAACCUUGAGGUUGGGACAUAGUAAGUUUCCUUCAAAACUGAAAGUACACUUAUUUUUUACAAUUUUCAUCCCUAUGUCACAAGGCCACAAACGUGAGUACAACUUUUGUUGAAUAAUACAGAGAGAUGCUGUGAUAAUUAAUCACUUUUACUUUGUUGCUUCAGUGGUUAUAUGUCACCUGAGUACGCAAUAGAAAGACUUUUUUCAGUAAAGUCCGAUGUAUAUAGCUUCAGCAUUUUACUACUAGAAAUUGUUACCGACAGAAAGAACACCGGUUACUACCAAGAUAGUCUUUACUUAAAUUUAGAGCAUAACAUUAAGACAUUACCAACGUUCUCUCCGUCUGCUUUUAUAACUUGAUGAUUAAUUUGUAAAUGGUUUUUAGGUUUGGGACUUGUGAAAGGAAAGUAGAGCCUUGGAAAUCAUUGAUUCAUCUCUGGGAGAACCAUACCCUGUCAAUGAAGUUCUAAGGUGUGUUCACAUUGCCCUUUUGUGCGUGCAAGAGCAUGCAAAGGAUCAUCCACUCAUGUUAGUAGUGGUUUCCAUGUUGGCUAAUGAUGCAGCAAUUCCUUCACCAAAGCAACCUGGAUUUUUGUUGAAGAGAAGUUAUCAUACUAGUGGAGACCCAUCAGACAAUACUGAAGGAGCUUACUCUAUAAAUGACAUGACCCAUACAGAAGUAGAAGGUCGCUAAGGAGAGAACCAGACAUAUACUCGAAAAGAUUAUAUCAAUCAAUUAAGAGUAUGGUCUCUUAUGAGUGAGAUUAGAAGAAAGGAUAUGCCCUGAUUUCACUCAAUAAUUUGCCUUAUAACUAUUGAUCUAAGUUCUAUAUCUACAACACUCGUCAUCUGUCUUGAAAUGCCGCUCCUUUCAUUUUGCAUAUCAUUGAACUUUUGGUAUUUUGUAAUAAUGUACUAAUGUUUUUUCAUUAGACUCUUAUUUUGGGGUAUGUAAUACUUAAAAGACAAAUGUUGUUUUUAUAUUUUGAAGUAAUAUUUAUGUGACUAUAUGGUAUACAUAUACUAAUUUAGUAUUAUGUUUUCAAUUUUUUGGGGGUCAAAUUAUGUUUUUCAUUUUCAUUAUUUAUUGAUUUAAAAUAUAUUUUUUUAACUGGUGUUGGGGGACUUUUAGGUCGAGGCGGACUUGGGCUUUGAGAACGUCACCCUUGGUGCAAGUUCGUGACAAGUCUGGGAUAUCUCGAAGGAGGUAGCUUGUCCUAGGAAACACCCUGGUAACAUCAACGGCUCAAAGAUAGCACAAAAGAUCAAGAUAAUGACUUGCUCAAGCAAAGCAUGGUGUGGAAGCUAGAAGAUUAUCGGUUUACAUGAGAGAAAGAAGGUUUGCAUGGUUGCAUGGCAUUCUUAGUUGCAUGUUUCGGGCUUUCCUAGGGUGAUAGCAAGGCUUCUAGUGGCUGAGAUGUUUGAUGGAGGGCUGUGGAAAUCACUACAAUUGCAUGAAUGGUGAUACUUGAAGCUUAGAGUAUGCAUCUGGACUAGAUGGAACUCUUUGGGCUUCUUCCUGGGUGGAAACAUCUUACUAUGUUUUGUCUAUCUCUCUCUAUGUAUUUCUCUCUGCGUUCUAACCUCCUCAUUUCUAAUAGCUUCUCCCCCUCUUUAGAUAGGUGAAGAGCUUCUCUUUAGAUUUCAAGAAAUAUCUCUUUGUGGCUUGGUCUUCCCCUCAUUUCUCCCUAGCUAUCCCAGUAUUUCCCUUUUGGUGUAAACUAGAUGCACUGUUUGAGUUAUGCAGAUUGCUGUUUCUUGAGAUGCAGCUUUCCUAGGGCGGCCUUCCGCAAGCGCUAAAUCUAGUAGCGCGCUUCUGGGCUUUUGUGCAUUCGCUGUCUGUGCAGGCUGGGAAUGGAAAGUCAGCAUUAAAUGCCUGACUUGCUAAGCUUGACAUGCAUUUAAUGUAAGAAUCUAGUUUAAUUCUAAUUAAGGGGAUUGGCUUACUAGGGAAAUGGAUAAACUAGGCUAGCUCUCAUUCCCAAUGAUGCCUGCGUGAAAUACAAAGGGUAUAGGCUUGGAUCUUUAGGCUCCUAAGCAGCCCAAAGUCUUCCAUGACCCUAAUUCCACAUAGGCCCGAUAACCUUAUGUAAUCAUCCACACCACAAUCCACUUAGCAAGUCUCGAAUAUGUGACUUGGGCUUAGCGUGAAUAUUGACUAAGGAGGCAUGGCGUGAUGAAUAAUACGUGAGCAUGGUGUGAGUAUUCCGCUUAAUUCUUGUGGCAUGGCAUGCUUGUAAAUAUAUUCCUUGUUGGUCCCGUGCCUUGGCAUGUGCUUGGGCUUGAAUGUAGGCUUUGCAUGAUAAUUGGGCUUUGAGACUUGGUAGGAUCGAUGCGUGACAUUUUUAGGCCCCAACAACGAGUAAAUUGUAACAGGUCAGGUCAUAUUACCUAAUAAUAUUAACGGGUUGAUUUCGAAUCAGGUCAUAUUACCCGUUUACUUUAACGGAUAUUGCCUGACACGACCCGUUAAGAUAUUGGGUAUGUCACGAAAACGACAUGAACACGAAAAACACAACAUGAAUACCAGGUCUAAUGCUCGACACACAUUAGACCUUUGGAUGUUAUGAUAAUUUAGUGUCAGAAAUAAUAAUUUAGAGGUAGAAUAUUGUUGACUAUCACAUGUGCUAGUAUAUGCUUCAAAUAAUUUUAGAGGUACAAUAUUGUUAAAAAUUAUAAUGCUCUUAUUUGAACGGUGAUUUAUACAAGGGGAAACUUGAUAUAAGCAAUUUUUUUUAGCCGAUAGUAGGAAUAGUCCAAUUUAUUUAAAUAAGUCCAAUUCUUUAAAUUUAAUUAUUUAAUUAUCAAUAAUUAUCUAUUAAAUGAUAAGAUUUAUUAUUACUUUAGUCUAAAGAAAGGUUUGGAAUUGACACUGUAGAAAUGAAUAGUGUUUCAAUUCGAAUUUCAGAUUAAUUACUACCAUGCCAUUGAUCUUUCUGUUGGUUUUGGGUCAGCAGCCCAGCCUUCAGCCAGGCCCAAAUGUGUUGGUUUUAGCUGGGAAGCAAGGCCCUCAAUGAGGCCUAAAUUAUUUAACUACAUUUUUGCCCAUCUAGUGUAACAUCCCACAUCGCCCAGGGGAGUAAAUCAUGUAAGCCUUAUAUGUAUAUUCUCAUCUCUACCUAGCACGAGGCUUUUUGGGAACUCAAUGGCUUUGGGUUCCGUAGGAACUCCGAAGUUAAGCGAGUAGCUCGUGAGAGCAAUCCCAUGAUGGGUGACCCACUGGGAAGUUCUCGUGUGAGUUCCCAGAAAUAAAAUCGUGAAGGCAUGGUCGGAGCCCAAAACGGACAAUAUCGUGCUACAGUGGAGUUGAGCCGGGGAUGUGGUGAGGGCCCGGGUCGGGAUGUGACAUCUAGGAUUACAAUCUGAUAGUAGGGAUGGUUUAUUACGAAGGGCAAUUUUGUCCUCUCUGUUUUGGGCGAGAUAGGGGGUCACUGGUUAGGUAUCAUUUGCUGUCGUUCAAUUAGGGUUUCGGGAAGGGUCUGCGAGAGAGAGAUAGAUAGAGAGAGAGAUGGCGAUGGAAGAAGAGAGAGGGGGAGGGGUAGGGGUCUCGACACUGUUGCUGCAGAUGAGAGGGUCGGUAUGGUCAAAGAAAACCAUAUGGGUCGUCAGGAUUUCAGGGAGAUAGGGAAGGGGUCAUCAACAAACCCUACCGAGGGUAAGGUGUGCCGGAUCUUGCGUUGCAUGCCUCAAAUCCAAAGGUUAGUUCCUUUUUAAAAUUGUUUUCUUUAAUGGUGCCUUAGAUUUUCUAAUUGUUUAGUAUGUUAGGUCCAGUUUUAGGGGAUUUGUGAUUUUAUAGAGAGAGAUGGAUAGGGAGAUAGAGAUUGACAGAGGGAAGAAAAAGCAUGGUUGUGUGCAUUUUUUUGGGUUAAUUAAUGGGUUAGCGCACAGGGUCAGUGAGGAGAGUGACAAAGGGGUGUAUAGGAGGGUAUGGGUUUUCACUUUUUUGCUCUGAUUCAACAGGUUAUGCACUGUUUGAAAAUCAUUGUUUAUUGUUUUGUUUUCCGUUUGCUUUGUUAAAACCAUAUUUCAAUUUUUUUGGUUUCAUUGUGCUCAUUUAUGUGCUUCUUAAUAACUUCCUGGUGUUUGCUUCUCAUCCCUUUGUUGGUAGAUUUUUCCCCAUUUCUUGGUUCCUUAUGUAUUCCUUGGUACAAAUCUGUCUAAUUUUUGGCUAUGUGAUGAUCCUUGCAGGUGAGCUACAUUAAUGUUGUUUUGAAACACAGAGCUUCAUCCCCUCGAAUAUGCAAUUCAUAGUAGCAGCCUCACCCUUUCACUAUUAUCUGCUUAAAGCAAAACAUUUUUAUUAUGGCCUUGGUUUCUUGACAUUUUUAGGUAUAUAAUUUGCUAUACUUUUGUUUUGGUUACUUCAGUUAGAUGUAAUGUCACCUAACAUAGUAUAAUAGACAAAAUCACCAUCUCUGUUCUCUUCAAGAUAAUUUAUUUCGUAAUCCAACUUUGUUUGCAAGCUUUGUUUGCAAUAGUAUGUAUAAGCCAGAUCUCUUAUUUCCCUGCAAAUGAAUAGAAUUAAUGCAAUCCUCGGUCAAAUCAUUUAUCACAUUCAGACAAGUUCCCAAUUAUUUUUGCAUAUGAAGAAGACCAUCUUCACCAACACCGGAUUUAUCUGCAAACUUAAUUUUGAUCACCCCGAACUUAUUAAUCAAGAAGCCACUGUUUUAAUAAAAUUUGGCAUAAUCUUUAACAUGAAUAUAGAAGGAAAGAAUGGAUGUAUAUGUGUAGAAAUUAUGUUGGAAGGUUGGUUAAACUUAGGCUUAUUCUCAAGUAUAGUAUAAAUUCUUGGGUUAUUUGGAUUUCAGUAUUUAUCAAACUUUGCCUUGCUUAUGUAUUGAUCUCAUAACUGUCGCUUUCAUACAACAACCCAAAUAUGGAAUCUGCCAUCUGGAUUCUAUAUGGAAGUUGUGAAGCUUUUUUCCCUCAAAAUUUUGGUCUUUUUGUUUUUGUAUGUUGGUUUAAAACAAGGGUUAUUCUACAAAAUGGUCCCUGAGAUUUGCAUGAUCAAUAGAAAUGGUCCUUGAGAUUGAAAAUCAAUAUAAAUAAUCCCUGAGAUUGUCCACCAUCCAUGAUUUUGGUCAUUCCGUUAAAAACUCUUUGGGCAAUUUUCAAAGCUUCGUAACUUAAUUGAUUCUUAACCAAAUUUGACCCAUAAUAUAUAAAAAUGAAUAUAAGAAAGUGUAGAACAAGAUUAUACCUAUUUGGAAGCCCAAUGAUUUCCAGAGAUGGCUUGAAAAUAGCCUGAAAGGUGACUGGUCCGUGGGAAAACUGGAAAACUCGCCAGAAACUAAGUAAACUUUAAGCGUUCAUAACUUCUUCAAUACUCAACGAAAUCAAGUGAUUCAAAAAUGAAAAUCAUACUUCUCAAAGAUACGAAGAGAAUGGUAUCUUUCUUUACUACUAACUUGCCAUGAUUUAGCCGGAAAACUGCUCGAAAGUGGCUAACUCAAAAAUGGUUAGCCACAUUUGAGCCGUUGUUCAACCAAAACACAGCGAUUUAGCCUUCAAAAAAAGUACCAUUCUCUUCGUCUCAUCAAGAAGUAUUAUUUUCAUUUUUGAAUCACUCGAUUUGGUUGAGUAUUGAAUAAGUUAUGAAUUUUUAAAGUUUACCCAGUUUCCGGCGAGUUUUCCAGUUUUCCCAUGGACCAGUCACCUUUUAGGCUAUUUUUCGGCCAUCUCCGGCAACCAUUGGGCUUCUAAAUAGAUAUAAUCUUAUUCUCCACUUUCCUAUCUUCAUUUUGAUAUAUUAUGGGUCGAAUUUAAGAAACAAUUGAGUUACAAAGCUUUGAAAGUUGCCCAAAAUCGUUUUUAACUAAAGGACAAAAUCAUGGAUGUUGGACAAUCUCAGGGACCAUUUUGUAUAAUAACCCUUAAAACAAAUAAAAAGUUUUUGUAUUGGUAUUUUGCUUUUGUUCCUAAACAAUGGCAAUUUUUUACUUCUGAAAUGAUUGUCACCUUAUUAUUUGUUUAUGUGCCAGUGCCAAGUUCUGAUGGUGCUCAUUGCUCUAGGAAAAUUGGGAGGGGAAAUUUUCAUAUGCUUUGUGGAAUCUUUGAUGCAAUUAGCAUUUUAAAUUUGACCCCUCCCAUUAGUUUUUUUUUUUUCUGAUAAAUUCUGUUGCGAUCUAUGUGUGUUGCUGAUGAAAGAAGAUAAAGGUUUAGCCAUGAUUCUUAAUGGUCCCUGAAACUUGUUGAUGCACAAAAUCAGUGGGGAAUUUGGUAUAACAGAAAAUGUUAAGUUUGUGACCUUCGCUAGAUUGCUCCGGUCACUAGUGUGGAUAAGUAUGUAAAUGGACAGAGACAAGGAAGCAAACACAAGAUGUACGUGGUUCACCCAGAUUGGCUACGUCCACGGAGUAGAGAAGUUCUCAUUAAUUGUGAAGGGUUUACACAAGUACAUAGGUUCAAGCUCUCAUUUAGUGAGUACAAGUGAAUGAUUUAGUACAAAUGACAUUAGGAAAUAUUGUGGGAGAAUGAUCUCCUUUUAUAAAAGAGAGUUUCUAGUUUUGUUUUGACGUUAACACGUGUCGUGUUGUGAUUAGCUUCUGAUGUUGACACGUGUCGUGCUAUGAUUGGCUUCUGAUGUCGACAUGUGGUGCACUGUGAUUGGCCUUUUGGUUGGAGGGAAACUCUUUUGGGUCCUUGACGGUAUAACGUUGAUUAGUGCUUAGUAGUUUUGGGAUUGGUCAAGUAUGGUAUAAACAAAACUCAUGGGUACUUUCACUUACUAUGCAUACGGUGAUAAUUGUGGCUGAGGCUGUUAUGAUUCAUAACUAGGCAAUUUCCUCUCACAUUUCCUUUGGUUGUGUAAUGAUUUUCUUUUGUCCUAACUUCACUUGCCAUCAUAUGUUUAGGCUUGGGUUACCCUUGGUAGAGCAAAGUUAAACUUUGGGGAGGCUGAUAGUGCCAUUCAAAGCUUUGACAGAGCAUUAGCCAUCAAGGUACUGUUUCACCUUUCAAGAAAUUAUAAUUUGUACUUCUCAAACUUCUUACACUUUUUUAUGCCUCUUUGAGCCACUGACCUUAGGUGGAGUCUGAUACUGCAAUAUUAUGUACUAAUCUAAUAAACCCUGCAGCUUAUUCGUCUUCUUCAUGGGUAAAAUAACAUGACAGAAAGAAGCAGUAACCAGUUCACCCAUUCCCUUGAUGAUCGUUAUAAUCUUUGUUUUCUUAGUCUCCUCUAUGCCCUCCUCAUCAAGAAAGUUCUUAAACCUGUUCCCAUAUGUGUAUUGUUAAGUUGCUAAUUUAUAGAUUAACCUACUGUGAUUCUGUGCUUGAAGUCAGGCAUAUGGUUAGACUUCCAAAUUGAUGCCUUAGUAGCUUCAAUGCUUGCCUUAAAAUUACUAUAGGCAUAACUGUUACAGUUUGUUUGUACCAUACUUGACCAAUCCCGAAACUACCGAGCACCGGCCAACGCUAUACUGUCAAGGACCCAGAAGAGUUCCCCUCCGACCAGGAGGCCAAUCACUACUCGACACGUGUCAAGAUUAGAAGCCAAUCAGAGCGCAGCACGUGUCGACAUCAAGAACCAAUCAUAACAUGACACAUGUCAAUGUGACAAAGCUACAAGUUUUUCUAUAAAUAGGGGUCAUUCCCCCACAAUAUCGCCUAAUGCCAUUUUGUGUUAAAUCAUUCACAAGAACUCACUAAAUUGAGAGCUUGAUCCUUUGUACUUGUGUAAGCCCUUCACUACUAAUAAGAACUCCUCUACUCCGUGGACGUAGCCAAUCUGGGUGAACCACGUACAUCCUGUGUUUGCUUCUCUGUCUCUAUUCAUUUACGUACUUAUCCUCACUAGUGACGGAAGCAACCAAGCGAAGGUCACAAAACCUGACACUUUCUGUUGUACCAAAGUCUUCGCUGAUUUUGUGCAUCAACAUUUGGCGCCGUCUGUGGGAAACGACACUUAUUCCUACUCUCUUCAGCUGUGUCAAGCUGGUUUCUAUCAUUCGUACACUUUCUUUUGAUCUGGCAUCCCUCUCCAGCAUGGGAAGCGAAGGAAGCCACAGCACACAGAAUGACACCCCCCUUGCACAUAGUGCGAAACAACGAAAGAAGGAAGGAAAACGAGUUAUUCUUCAAGCUAAAGUCGAUGAGUUGGAAGCUUAGAACAACAAGAUAGCAAUGAGGAAUGAGGUCCUCCAGGAGCAAUAUGAGAAGCUCUUCGAGACACUUCACGAAGCUAGGCAAGCUCAGACACGCGAGCUUGUUGCCCCCGUGGAAGUCAACCAUCAACUGGGUGCCCUCCAACAUGGAGGGUCACAUGCAUUCGACAUAGAUAUCCCUGAUAGGGAACAAAUUACCCCUCGAUUUGAUAAUCAACAUGAGGCUUCUCUUAACCCAGUUGCUUCGACCCGAACCAUGAGAAGCGGAGGGAGACACCUCUUUGCUGAAGGGGCAGAAGGAUCGAAAGCUGUCUUUCGCGAUUGUCGGGAUUUCCUGAAGCAACGUCGAGAGAAUUCCAUCCAUAUAAGCUCAAAGAUCAAUGACCCAAGGAUUUCUGAGAGACUCGGUCCCCUGCCACGGCCCGAGCCGGCCACCAACUUGGGGAAGGGGCAACAAGUCCUAGAGAGACAUGAGGGUACAGGGGACUCAGAGGUGUUCCGACAGACAUACCCUGGAAGCCAGUACAGCGAGUCCAGGGAAAAAAUCACAUGCCCUUGAUCAAACCUUCCUAAUUCCAAGAGGAGAUGGAGAUUUACGAAAGAAAGCUCCAGUGGCACAUAACUCCGCUCAGGACCCCCCUUGUCCUACAACUUCUUGAGGAAGUAAACAAGUUGAAGGCUGAACGUCAGGCUAAAAUACCUGACUGGAACCAACCCAGGCCUGGCCCUCUUACAAGGAGGAUCCUCAACACCCCCCUUCAAGCAAAGACAAAGCAGAAGCUUGGCUUGCAACUUUAUACUGGGAAAGAGGACCCGAUUGAGCACCUUAACCUCUUUGAGUCCACCAUGGCAUACCGGAUGCACACCGACGAAGAGCGAUGUCUUCUCUUCCCCUCCACCCUCUCUGGCGGAGCUCUAAAUUGGUAUUGUCGUCUUACACCUGAGACGGUAGACUCAUUUGAGGAAUUGAGGAAACUAUUUGUUUCCCAACACAUUUUCCAAACCGAUCGCUUGCACUCUGCAGAUGACCUGUACACUAUCCGCCAGAAGCCAGACGAGUCAUUACGUAUGUAUGCUGGCCGCUUCAGCCAUGAAUACUCCCGGUGUGCCGAGGCAGACGACAAGACUGCCCUCAAAGCCUUCACGGCAGGCCUACGUGAUUGUUUCUUUAAAUACAUGAUCAAUGUCAAUACUUGGAAGACUUACUCUGAGGUGAUGGCGCAGGCUUAUAACCAUGCCUCCGCCGAGGCAAAGACAUAUCAGGAGAAACCCCCUACAACCAUCCUUUAUCAACAAGUGGGAGGUGGAAGCCAGACUCACCUAAAUGAGAAGACCUCGACUUUCCAAACAGCAGUGGCACCUCCCCAUGCCGUGCAUAAUGCUUCACCGAAUCAACAGACAUAUCAAUUUCAAGGCAAGAGGAAGGAUUUCCAUCCUCACCACUCUCCUUCCAGUAAAAAGAGUAAGGGACACUAUCCCGAUAACCAAGGGUAUCGCCACAAUAACGCUCGCCCCCAGGCAGUCAAUGCAGUGGGUCAAACCCGCGUCAAGAUACCCCCUACCCCAAGGUAUGAGACAUACACGCCCUUGAAUGCCACAUGCGCGGCCAUUUACCCCAGCAUAGCUCACCUGAUACCAAAGCCAAAGCCGAGGCACCCAGAUUACACGCCCCCGAAUAACGCGGGCAUGUUUUGUUGCUACCAUGAGCAUAACGGCCAUGAUAGCGAGAAAUGUAUCAUCCUCCGUGAUCGUAUUGAAGCUUUGGCACGAGAAGGAAAAAUUGAUCAAUUCCUCCUUCACCCUCAAAGGGAUAACCGUAACCAACGCCAGGUGAAUGUCAUAUAUAUUCCAUAAGCGGCGGCACACCCCAUAUCUGAAUCUUCCAAUAGGGCCAUGAAAAACAGUGAACGAAUUCUGAGGCCUGGUCACCAAGUGUUUCACGUGGAAGACAUCAGGGGAGGGAAGUAUCAAAAGCCUAACUGGGAUCCGAUAUGUUUCUACCCUGAGGAAGAAAGAGGCAUCAUCUACCCUCAUAACGACCCAUUGAUCGUGGAGGCUCACAUAGCCAACUUUGAUGUUCGACGAAUCCUCGUAGACACAGGGGCUUCGGUCAAUAUCAUGUUUGCCGAAGCUUUCAGGGCACUCAGUGUAGCUGAACACUUGCUCGAUCGCUCGAUUUCUCCUCUGAUAAGCUUCUCCGGUGAUAUCGUGCAACCCUUAGGGAGCAUACAUUUACCCUUUACUAUUGGUACAGGCCCUUACACGGCUACCAUUACCACUAACUUCCUAGUGGUUGACUGCCCAACGGCAUACAAUGUCAUCUUUGGGCGCACAGGCAUCAAUGAUCUCAAGGCUAUAUGGUAUCCACGCAUAUGCUGUUGAUGAAAUUUCCAACCCCCAUGGCAACGACUACAUCAGAGGAGAUCAGCUUACUGCACGAUCAUGUUACAACACUUCAGUUAAGCAACAACACUUGCCCGGACCCAAGGAAACCCUGUCUGUACAUGACCAAGUCACAAAGACCAGCCUAGAUGAAGCGAACUUGGAUCUUCCUGAUAGCAACAAUCAACCCGAUGAUCCUCGAGAUGACUCUUUCACCCAGCAAGCCCAACCUGCUGAAGAGUUGGAGAAGGUACCUAUCUCAAGAGAUUAUCCAGAUCGCAUGGUGAAGAUUGGCACCACAUUGUCACCACCCCUUCGGUUAGCAUUGAUAUCUUUUUUGAAAGAGAACACUGAAGUCUUCGCCUGGUCAUACGAGGACAUGCCAGGCAUCUCUCCCGAUGUCAUCUGUCAUCGUUUGAGUAUUGACCCCAAGAUCAAGCCGGUGAGACAGAAGCGAAGAUCUUAUGACGCUGAACGAUACGAGGCAAUGAAAGCAGAAGUUGAAAAACUCAAAGGCAUAGGCUUUGUCCGCGAAGUCAAUUACCCGACAUGGGUAGCAAAUGUGGUCCUUGUUAGGAAAAAUCCGACCAAAGAAAGUCUUUCGCUUCAAAAGGUCUUGUGGAGGAUGUGUGUUGACUACACCGACCUAAAACAAAGGGUGUCCGAAAGAUAGUUUCCCUCUUCCUCUUAUUGACAGGCUUAUAGACUCUACGGCAGGGUGUGAGCUCUUGAGCUUUAUGGACGCUUAUUCAGGAUACAACCAAAUCCUCAUGAACCCCUCAGACCAAGAACACACGGCCUUCACUACUGACAGGGGACUAUAUUGCUAUAAAGUCAUGCCUUUCGGCCUAAAGAAUGCAGGAGCAACUUAUCAGAGACUGGUCAAUUCAAUGUUCGCCGAACAAAUUGGGAAGAACAUGGAAGUUUACGUUGAUGAUAUGCUAGUCAAAAGCAAACAUGCUGACCAACACAUCACCAACCUAUCUGAAACUUUCACCAUUCUAAAGAGGUAUCGAAUGAGGUUGAACCCCAACAAAUGUGCCUUCGGCGUGGGCUCUGGCAAAUUCUUAGGCUUCAUGAUUAGCCAACGAGGCAUUGAAGCUAACCCUGAAAAGAUCAAAGCAAUCCUCGACAUGAAAGAGCCAAUAACUUCAAAAGACAUCCAAAGCCUUACUGGCAAGGUGGACGCCUUAACCAGAUUCAUCUCUAAGGCCACAGACAGAUGUGCUCCUUUCUUCAAAGCACUCAAGGGAAAUAAGAAGUACAUUACAUGGACGGAGGAAUGUGCCAAGGCAUUCAGGAACCUCAAAGAGUACAUGAGUAAAGCCCAUCUGCUCUCCAAACCAGAAGUUGGUGACACUCUCAUCAUCUAUCUAUCGGUUUCGGCUUCAGCAGUCAGUUCUGUUCUUAUUCGAAUGGACAGUGGUGUCGAACGGCCCGUCUACUACGCUAGCAAGGCCCUACAAGAUGCGGAGACACGAUACUCCAACAUUGAGAAAUUAGCUCUAGCAUUGGUCAUGUCUGCUCGGAAACUUCGCCCUUAUUUCCAAGCACACGCCAUCAUCGUGCUUACCAAUCACCCUCUUCGACAGAUACUCCAGAGUCCUACACGUCUGGACGAAUGAUCAAAUGGGCGAUAGCAUUGGGUGAGUUUGACAUCUCCUACCAACCAAAACCAGCCGAAAAAGGCCAAGCAGUAGCAGAUUUCAUCGCCGACUUCACAUAUCCUGUUGACAUUGCUUCUACACCUAAAGCAGUAGCUUCAUUACCAUCGAAAGCUCAGAAGAUAGAACCAACAACCCCAGCAUGGAGUCUGUAUGUUGAUGGCUCAUCCAACCAACAAGGCUGUGGAGCGGGACUAGUCUUGACUACGCCCGACAAAGUAGCAAUGGAGUAUGCUCUUCGUUUCAAAUUCAAGGCAUCAAACAAUGAGGCCGAGUAUGAAGCCCUUCUAGCAGGAUUACGUUUGGCCAAACACCUCGGGGUUAAACAAAUUGAUAUUUUCAGUGACUCCCAAUUAGUGGUCAACCAGGUUACCAACAACUUUGAUGCUAAGGACAGCUCCAUGGCAGCAUAUCUUGCGCAAACACAACUUUUGCUCAAACACUUCCACUACCAGAUCACCCAAGUUCCUCGAGCGGCAAACAGUCAUGCAGACGCCCUGGCUCGCCUCGCCUCAGCUGUGGAAGACAAGAUUGGAAGAAAAAUUNCUGGAAGUACUUUUUCUCCAUCCAGGGGUGGUAUCUUUAACCGAUGAAGAUGCACAAGGUAAUGUAUCAAUUUCACUUGAAGCUUAGUUGUAGUUUUGGGCUUGGUCAAGUGCGAUACAAACCCUAUAGUAGGAGUCCCCUAAGUCGCCGAGCUAGGAGAUUUUCGGAAUGAGGUAACAGACAAGGUAAGCAAUCAGACUUCCAAGCAAGCAACCUAGAUCGGAGGUUCGACUUCAGCUUCCGGUUGAUUGUUCUCCUUCUUCUUGUGUUGUAAACAGCAACAAAGAUAAGGAGAAGCAAAUGGAGAAUAAAUGAUAUGAGAUACUUUUGCUUUUGAAGAAGUAACUUUCCACCAGUUUAUUCUUGAACUGGGCUGGAGGGUUUUCUGGUUUCCUCUAGAGUAUAAGGCUGACUCAAGAAUUUAAGGGUCAAAACAAGUCCAUCAAAUCUGGAGUACGUUCGACCCUGAUGAUAUGGGAUACUUUUGUUGUUGACAAAGUAGUGGAUGUAUCGACACGUGUUCUGUUACGCUUGUCUCCACAUGCUUCCUUGUAUCCUUCUCACUUGCCCUAUCUGUUCCUCAGGCAGAUAUGGUAUCUUCUUUGGAAGCAUAAGAUGUUGAAGAUGAGUACUCAAGAGCAAUGCCAGGUAAGUAAUCAGGCAAGGGGUUACAGGCAAUCAGUUUCUAACUGGAAGCUUGAUUCCAAGUGCUGACUGAUUGCUCUCUUUCUCCUUGUCUUACAGGUAAGAACAAGGCCAAAGGAAAAGACAGGGAAAAAGCAUGAUAUGGGAUACUCUUGCUUUUAACCGUGAUGAUAUGAGAUACUCUUGCUCUGGUGUGGCUUGUUUGCAGAGGUAUUAUGGGGAGGAAAAGAAGCUGAGUAUUUCGAGAAACUCUGCUGAGAGUGCCCUCUCGGAUGUGAGGAAAAGUUGAGCAUUUUUUUUUAUUUGCAGGUCUGCCUGGCUAUGGAGGAUGAAGGUCGACAUAUAUAAGAGUCUCCUUAAUAACAAGUAGUAGUGCUAUUCCUUUACCCUUCUUGGUCAUAGCAAUGUAGUGGGAGCUGCAAGCUUCACGUGUUUUAACUUUGUCAGAGCACUUUGAAAAACUGGUAUGUGGUAUCUGAAAAGCUGAUGUUGCGUGUGAAGAUUGCAGACAAGCUUUAUCCAAGGAAAUCUGGCUCUCGAAGUUCGAAAAGCAGUGCCUCUUCGAUUUUUGAACAAGCAAUCCUGUCAGGGAUCUUACUCUCGAGAUUCAGAUAACGGUGCCUCUUCAAUUUUUGAGAAAGCAAUCUUGUUGGGAGUCUGACUCUUGAGAUUCGGAGAACAGUCGAUUUUUUAGAAAGUAAUCUUAUUGGGAGUCUGGCUCUUGAGAUUCGGAGGGUGGUGCCUCUUCGAUGUUUGAGCACGUAAUCCUAUUGGGAGUCUGGCUCUCGAGAUUUGGAGAAUGGUGCAUCUUCGAUUUUUGAGAAAGCAAUCUUGUUGGAAGUCUGACUCUCGAGAUUCGGAGGGCGGUGCCUCUUCAAUUUUUGAGCAAGCAAUCUUAUUGGGAGUGUUUUCUCGAAUGUGAGUAAAGGUUUGACAUUUUUGCCAGUCUGCCUUGCCACGGAGCAUGAAGGUUGACACACAUUGAGACUUUCUAGUUAUCAAGCAGUGGUGUUGUUCCUUUACCUUUGUGGGUAAUAGUAGGGUAGCUGGACCUUCAAAAUUUAUAUGUCUAAACUUUGUCAGAGAUUUUUGGCAAAGUUAUCUGUGGUACCCGAGGAGAUGAUGUUGCAUGUGGAAAGUGGUCUCUAUUCGGAAUCCGGAGAGUGGUGCCUCUUCGAUUUUUGAACCAACGGCCCUGUUGCCUUUUCUUUUAUAAGGGCACCAAUUUGUGCUAGAAGUACAUUUAGAGAGUUAUUGCUUGUAGGAAUUUUCCCCUUACUUCAGAGAUUUAUUGCACCUCAUUUCUCAUUCAUCAUUUCUGAGAAUGUCUGGCUCAUCCGACCAUUGUUUUGACUUGAACUUUGGUGAAGAGGCAGCCAUGCCUUCUUAAGACAACAUAUGACGCCCAUCUUUCUUAUCCCCUACUGGUCCUCUUACCGUUGGGGACUCUAUGAUGAAGAAUGAUAUGACCGCUGCGGUGGUGGCCAGGAACCUUCUCACUCCCAAAGAUAACAGACUACUUUCCAAACGGUCUGAUGAGUUAGCUAUUAAGGAUUAUCUGGCUCAAAGUGUUCAGUGUGCAGGUUCUGUGUCUAAUAUGGCCCAACGCCUAUUUGCUCGAACCCGCCAAGUUGAAUCAUUGGCAGCUGAAGUGAUAAGUUUCAAACAGGAGAUCAAAGGGCUCAAGCAUGAGAAUAAACAGUUACACAUGCUCGCACAUGACUAUGCUACAAACAUGAAGAGGAAGCUCGACCAGCUGCAGGAAUCUAAUGGUCAAAUUUUACUUAAUCAUCAGAGAUUUGUGGGUUUGUUCCAAAGGCAUUUAUUGCCUUCGUCUUCUGGGGCUGUACCGCGUAAUGAAGCUCCAAACGAUCAACAUUUGGUGCCUCAUCUUUCUGGGGUUCUGCCUAGUACUAAGGCUCCGAAUAACCACCCUCUGGUGCCUCCUAAUUCUGGGGCUCUCCCGACUACUGAGACUUCUCCUGAGCAACCUUUGUGAAGGCUCCCUCUUGUUUGUUUAUUUUGAUUCAUGUAUAUGUACAUAUUUGUAACUUAUCGGAGAUAUCAAUAAACAAGCUUUGCUUCAUUUCAACGUAUUAUGUUAAAUACACCAAGGCCUUCUUCAUUAAGUUCUUUGAAUUUUUCCUUUUGUUGAAUCUUGUAUGUUGAAGCUUUAUGAGUGAAGCCUGUAUGUUGAGGUAGUGCUCCCUUAAUUUCCCGAGUGAGGAAAACUGCUUGGUUGGAGACUUGAAAAAAUCCAAGUCACUGAGUGGUCAUGAGACUUCUGAGUAUCAAGGUACAGUAGCAUAUGGUAGGAGUCCCCCAAGUCUCCGGUCAAGAGAGUUGACGAAUAAGGUGUCUUGCUAGUAGCCAAGUUUCCAAAGUAACAAAAUUUCACCAUUUUCCUUUCUAAGUGGCAACCCAAAACUCCGAAUAUAUAUUUAUUUUUUUUUUUCAAAUAAGAGGAGCCUAGGCAAUUUAUUUAUUUAUUUAUUUUUUCAAAUUUUCAAAUUUUUGAAUUUUUGAAUUUCCGAAUAUAUAUAUAUAUAUAUAUAUAUAUAUAUAUAUAUAAAGCUUUGUAGGUGAAGUUUUGAGGUUGAAACUUUGUUGGGUACCAUGAAUUGAUUUUGCUUCACACUAUCUUGUCAAGAUAAUGUGAAGCUUUUGAGAAUUUGUAGUUGUCCUCCAUUGAUGAAGCAAUUUGUAGUUGUCCUCCAUUGAUGAAGCUUUUGUUGGUGAAGCUUUUGUGGUGGGGGAAGCUUUUGUGGGAGAAGCUUUUGUGGUGUGAGACUUUUGUGAGUGAAGCUUUUGUUGGUGAAGCUUUUAUGGGUGAAUCUUUUGUAGGUGAAGCUUUUGUGGUGGGUGAAGCUUUUGUGGGUGAAGCUUUUGUGGUGGGUGAAGCUUUUGUGGGUGAAGCUUUUGUUGGUGAAGCUUUUAUGGGUGAAGCUUUUGUAGGUGAAGCUAUUGUGGGUGAAGCUUUUGUAGGUGAAGUUUUUGUGGUGGGCGAAGCUUUUGUGGUGGGUGAAGCUUUUAUGGGUGAAGCUUUUGUAGGUGAAUGAUGAUGCACAAAAUCAGUGAGGACUUUGGUACAACAGAAAGUGUUAAGUUUGUGACAUUCGCUAGAUUGCUCCGGUUACUAGUGUGGAUAAGUAUGUAAAUGGAUAUGGACAGGGAAGCAAACACAAGAUAUACGUGGUUCACCCAGAUUGGCUACGUCCACGGAGUAGAGGAGUUCUCAUUAAUUGUGAAGGGUUUACACAAGUACAUAGGUUCAGGCUCUCAUUUUGUGAGUACUAGUGAAUGGUUUAGUACAAAUGACAUUAGGAAAUAUUGUGAGAGAAUGAUCUCUAUUUAUAGAAGAGAGUUUCUAGUUUCAUUCUGACAUUGACAAGUGUCGUGUUGUGAUUAGCUUCAGAUGUUGACACGUGUCGCGCUAUGAUUGGCUUCUGAUGUCGACACGCGUCGAGCUGUGAUUGGCCUCCUGGUUGGAGGGAAACUCUUCUGAGUCCUUGACUGUAUAACGUUGACCGGUGCUCAGUAGUUUCGGGGAUUGGUCAAGUAUGGUACAAACAUACUUUAAUCUUCUCCCGGGUCCCCAAUUACAACAAAAAUCAGAAUUGUAUAAAUAUUAAGAACACAAUGAAACUGAAAAAAUUAUAUGGUUCUGGAAGGUAUACAAAAAGUUUCCCCUUCUUUCGUCUUAAAUUUGUUUUGCAGCUUUAUUUCGGCUCAAGUUUCAUUUUCUUUCGUCUAGGAAAUUUUUAUAGCCUGAAAUUUCAAUGGAACUGAAAUAGGGAGAGGAGGACAACCCAAAUUUCUGAAUGAUCCCACUGCUUCUGGUGUACGAAGAUAUGAAGAUUUGCCAAUUGAUGAACACAGAGGAGAAACAGAUUUACCUUCUUUCGAUUUAACCACCUUGGUAGCAGCCACAGAAAACUUCUCUUAUGCUAACAUGCUUGGCCAUGGCGGCUUCGGCAUGGUAUAUAAGGUACUUCCCCUAGAACAUUUUGAGAUCUGUGCAUUAUGUGGCUUCGGCAUCUCUGUUGUCAUUAAGAUUUUCGAGUCUGCACCAUGAUUUCAGGGAUGUCUAGCUGAUGGACAAGAAAUAGCUGUUAAAAGAUUAUCGAGAAAUUCAGGACAAGGCAUAGACGAAUUCAAGAACGAAGUAAUGCUUAUUGCAAAGCUUCAGCAUAGAAAUCUUGUGAGGCUUUUGGGUUGCUGCAUACAUAAAGAAGAGAUGAUGCUAAUCUAUGAAUACAUGCCAAAUCGUAGCUUCGACUUAUGCAUUUUUGGUAUGCCAUCUUUACACACUGCUAUUAAAUACUUUAAGUUUUCUGACAUAAACCCUGAAAUUAAGAAAUCAUAAACUUGUAGAUAAUAGAAGCUUUUAUGUGUGGUGUUCAGAUAAAAACGGAAAUUCGUCGUUAGAUUGGAGAAAAAGGUUUCAAAUUAUCAUUGGGAUUGCUCGAGGCGUCCUAUAUCUUCAUCAAGAUUCGAGACUAAAAAUAAUCCACAGGGAUUUGAAAGCGGGCAAUGUUUUACUCGAUGGUUCAAUGAACCCAAAAAUAUCAAAUUUUGGCAUAGCAAGAAUGUUCGGGGAUGACCAAAUUGAAGCAAACACGAACAAAGUUGUUGGCACCUAGUAAUUGUCUCAUCUCCCUUGAAAAAAAAAAUUCAAGUAGAACCAAUAUUUUUUUUUACUCAUAUUGUGUAAUUGCAGCGGUUACAUGUCACCGGAGUAUGCUAUGGAUGGGCUAUAUUCCACAAAAUCCGAUGUGUUUAGCUUCAGAGUCUUGACACUAGAGAUCAUUAGUGGAAGGAAGAAUACCUUCCAAUUUGAAAACUCAUCUCUAAAUCUAGUUGGACUAGUAAGUAAACAGAUAAUUUUUCAACCGAUGAAUCUAACUUUCGAGUAGUCCAAUGAUCUAAACUUUGUGCUCAAAAUUGUUUCAGAUAUGGGGCUUGUGGACAAAAGGAAAAGUCUUGGACAUAAUUGAUUCAUCAUUGAACCAGUCGUAUUCGACUCCUGAAGUUAUGAGAUGCAUUCAGAUUGGGCUCUUGUGCGUUCAAGAAUACCCAACAGACCGGCCAACCAUGCUAGAUGUUGUGUUCAUGUUGGGGAAUGAAACUACUCUUCCACGUCCGAAAAAGGCAGCAUUUAGCUUGAAAAACAGUGGUCCGGAUUGUUCAACGUCUAAAGAAGCUCCUUCUGUAAAUGAUGUAACAGUAGCAGUUAUUGAAGCUCGUUGAGUUUGCACUUUGCCAGUUCUUGUAGAGAUUUUGUGUUACUUCUCAAGUAUUUGUACUCAAAUCGAGAUUCCUUGUGUAGAGAAGGCAAUGCCUUUGAAAUUGUCGAUUCAUCUCUGGACGGAUCGUACCCUAUCAACGAAGUUGUGAGAUGUAUCUAAAUUGCCCUCUUAUGUGUGCAAGAGUAUUUUGGAUAUUAUACUUUAAUCCAACGGCUAAUAGGUCACUAUAGUUAUGGAAUGUAAGUAGGAUUAGAGUUUAACUUGGACUCCAAGUAAAGAUAAUAUUCCGGUUAUUCUUGAAGAAUAAGAGUUCUUGAUACUAUCCUAUUUGGAUUGAGGUUUGGUAGAUUAUUUGUUUGUACAAUAAGGCAUCCUAAUGACAUCAGAACAGAAUCCUAAUGACAUCAUUAUGGGAUUAUGCAUUCAGUUUUUUUUUUUUUUUUUUUGAAUAAACAAUAUUAUUUACACUAAGAGGUUGGGAGUAGGGUAAGCCUCAAAAUGGGGUUCAAAUUCACCUUUGACAAUAAUCAAACCUUAAACCUCUCAAUUACCAGUGAAGAUCGGAAUAUUACUAAACCGUAGUAAGUGACGAGAGAAUGCAUUAGGGUUAAGUUAGUAUAAAUGCUAAACAUAGGUCCCUGCACAUACCUCUGAAACACAACUCAAAAGAAUUCCCCAUAGGUUUGAGGUAUACUGACACGCCCCAACCCAAAUAUCCUAAUGAUACCUGCAUGGCACGUGCUGACCGACACUCGGAAGUGACGAAAGCCAUAAUUCCAUACAAGCACAAGAAAAUAUCAGCACCUGAAGAUCAAAAAUAAUAAACAAUAACAAGAUCCUGAAUUAAACAUAAGGGUAUCGGAAAGUUCAAUGAUCAUAGAUUCGAAACAAAAGAAAUACAAAUAUGUCCAGAGCAUACUACUACACGGAACUACAAGUGCAAAUAAGAAUUCAGAUUACAAUUCAGCAAGAAAAUCAUACCCAAAUGGAAGAGCUCAAAGUCACUGGUAGGGAAAUACCUCGACACUCGGGUCGUACUCCUCGUCACAAGGUCCUAAGUGGGCACAAAACAGAAAAGGUGAGUGGACCAUAGUUAUAUUUAUACUAAUACUAUUCAAACCCAAAUUCUUUCUUAACAUAAUAACCCCCUGCUUUGAAAACAGAUAUAAUACUACGUAUAGGUUUUUCUAAAACUCUAGCAUGCUAGAAAAGUUUGUAACCAUAAAAUCAUCUCUAAAACAUGCAUCUCGAAAUGCCCGAAGGCAAAACCAUAAAUCCCAUCAAAGUUGUAUUCUCUAGGGGUAUCAUAGUCGCCCGAAGGCAGUACCUGUCCAUCGUCCGAAAGCGAAGCUGUACGACACUGGGUUACGUCAGUCAAGAAACAUGGUAGGCCCCAUCACCCGAAGGUGAAGCUAUACUACUCCGGGUUACGCUGGAGAAUAAACUCUAUAACAUCUCACAUUGACACUAGUUGUGACUAGUGAAGCUGUCCGACACUGCUUUUGGCAAUGAAACUAGGGGUAUAACAUAUAUCCCACUCCUCCUCAUCACAGUGUCCUAUGACCAUAGACAUCUAAUACCCGUGUUGUGUGGAUGUGUUGUAUGAUAACUCACUAGAUAUAUAUACCCAAAAUAUAACUCAAAUCUCAAAGCUCAAGUCAACAACUCAAAUCAUUCUCAUAAACCACAAAUCCAUAAUAUAUCAUAAAUCCGCAAUAUCUCAUAAGGCAUAAAAGAAAUAGUCGUAAACCUUUUCUAAGUGUGAAAUCAAUAGUUAUAACAUUUCAUAAAAUGUAAUUUAAAUAAAUCAUAAUAUAGAAAUUCGUAAAGCAAAGUAUAAUAUAAAACGUAUUCAAAUCAGGUAAUAUGAAUUUGCAUGCUAGAUGGUUAAUUAUAAAAUAUACAUUUGAUAAGGGGUCCACUCACAAGUACUCCGCUCUCGGGGAGCUGCUCGAAUUAGGGAGAACUGGAUCAUCUUCCAUCGGUGCACCUAUACACAAAAUAGAGACUAUUUAAUAAAACGCUAAAGCGAUUGAAUUUGUGAAAACGGAGUGUAGAUUUGGAAUCAGAAUGUCGAAAUUAGUCUAGAAGGGUCCCGAUCGAAAAACUCGAAAAAGUCGACGGUCAACGUUGACCAUAAAGUCAACGGUCAAUGGGUCACAGUCAACGGGUCAAAUGGGUUGGACAUGUUUGGUUGGGUUGGGCCGAGGGUCUUUGGGCCGGGUUAAGUAAAAGGACUUGGGCCUAUUUUAAUUUUAAGUUUUGGGCUUAUGCUAUGAAAUAAAAGGGCGGGCUUAGCCCGUUGUGGGCUAAAUCAUUUGGGCUCUGGGCUGAGUUGGCAUGCGGGUUGGGACGACACGAGUUACUCGUGGGUCACCGGACCCAUCGAAAGAGAACACCGGCUUUUUGGCCGGAAAUUCUCCCAACUUCGAUCUGGGGUUAAACUUGCUGAAAAAUCACAAUUCAAACAUUAAACAAUGAUGCUGGAACCUGUCGGGUCAGAAUUGGCUUGACCGUGUCAGAAUUGGCCGGGAUUCGUCACGAAACCCGUCGGGUUUCCUCGCCGGAUUCUGGAAAAAGGAAACAGAGUGCAUGCAUAAUAAAUCUCAAUGAUCUUCCACCAAAAUUCACAUGCAACAAGGUAUCUAGUGACCUAGGGUCGUGUCCAAUUGAUUUCGAUUGUCAACACCCUCAAAAUCGCCGGAAAAAACCACGGGUUCACCGUCGACAUCUGAGACCAAAAGAGUAGGUGCAUGCAGAGAGUUAAACCCCAGAUUUUUCCACAUAAUACUCGUCUAGAUGGAUUAGAAACCAACACAACCAAGAAGGAAAAAUAGUUCAUACCUGCGAUGACAAUUCAAGAGAGUUCAAGCUCUCAGUGUCAAUGGCAGAGUACGUAAAAGUGCACAGAUGCCACAUGCAACCUUACAGGUGAGUUCCCUAGGUCCUAAAGAUUCGAAGUUCAAGUUUCUAGAAGUUGGUUUGGUCCUUCUCGGAUAUAGAGAGUGAAUGCAGAAAAGAAUUAGGAAGAAGAGAGAGUGUUCAGAUAGUGGGGGAUCACGGGAGAGGGAAGGAAUAAUGGGUUGGGUUUUGGGCUUGUCACAGCCCAAAGAACUGGACCAAUUUGAUAAAACCCAACACAUGGGCAAAUUCGUAAUUUUACACUUAAAUUUUUACGGUGGGUUGUUACUAGGGAUGGGCAAAAUACCUAUGGGUUUGGGUAACCACGGUUAUCCGUCCAUUUAAAGCUCACGGUUAUGGUUAUGGGUAACUGUUUGGAUGAAUAAACGGUUAUGGGCAUAACUGUUUAUCCGUGAAAUUUAAAUGGGCGAUUAUGGGUAUUACCCACGGUUAUAACGGGUAUCCAUCAGUUAUGGUUAUUACCCGCGGUUAUAACGGAUAUCCAUUUACCCAUUUAAUUUAAUAUAUGUAAAAUUAAAAAAAAAAGUAAAAACCCUAAAUUUUCAAUCUUUUCAUGAAACUCAGAGUCUUAAACGCCCCGUCCCCGCUCAUCUCUCCCUCCUUGCUGCCCUCUCUCUCAUCUCCGAACCGAUCCCAAAAGUUUCGGCUUGCGAUUCGGCCACAUCUUUAAAAGUGUUCGGUAAUCCCGAACCAACCGAAUAUUUUAUAUAUAUAUAUAUAUAUAUAUAUAACAUAGGCAUAUAUAAAAUUAGAAGGCAUACAUGAUACUGAAGCAGAAAACUAUAUAUUAUAUAUAUGUAACAUAGGCAUAUAUAAAAUUAGAAGACAUACAUGAUACUGAAGCAGUAAACAAAAUGUUAAAAGGGAUUUCGGGUUUAAUACAGCUCUUCCAAGCAACUCUGCCCUCUCUCUCGCUUAUGUCGCCCUCUUCUGAUUCCUCACAUUGUACGAUUCAUACCUAUCAAAACUAUCUUUCAAAGACUGAGACUAUAACGGUGUUUAAUUGUCAGAAAAUAAAAAUUAUGACAAAUUUUUCUUUUAUAAUUUUCAAGUUGUUAAAAAAAAAACAUGUAGAGGGUGAAAAAAGGGUAAAUGGGUGAAAAAGGAUAAACGGGUUCAAAAAUAGGUAAACAGGUAAACGGUUAUGGUUAAAUAGGUAAACGGUUAUGGGUAUGGUUAAUUGUUUAUAAACGGUUAUGAGUAUGAGUAUAAUCGUUUAUGUAAUUACCCAACAGGUAAACGAUUAUGGGGGUAUGAAUAUAAACGGUUAUGGGUAAAUAACCGCGGUUACCCGCCCGCCAUAACCGUUGCCCAUCCUUAGUUGUUACCUAUACAAUGGUGGUGAGUGUGCAAAAGGCCUUGCUUGUGUUCUUAGUGUGUUCGUGUGCUUGCUGCAGUUCGUGGCUUGCUCUGCUGUCGAAAAUGGUUUCUCCAGGCUAGUAUUUUCAUGCUGUUUUUAUUCACAUGCACAUAUUAGGAUUUACAGAGUAUGCAACUGAGCGAGCGGCCAACAAUGUCGGCUGUCAUUUUCAUGCUAUGUAAUGAAGCAGUAGCUUCUUCAAUAAAACAACCAGCAUUUUUAUUAGAGUUGUAACAGUGGGGACCCAUCACCACAGUAUUGAAGGAGAUAAUUCUGUAAAUGAUGUGACUUGUAGUAGCGUAGAACCUCGCUAAACUUAAAACUCCUGAGAUAUUCCUAAACGUUGUAUGUUAAACUACUAUUGGUAGCAGCUUGUAAAAGGUUAUUAACCACAAAAAUUUUGCUUCUAAUAAGUAGUUCCAAUUUUCUUUCUAGUGCAUUGACAUGCGGGACGUCAGAAUUAUUGGUCUCGAUUGUGACGUAAUUGAAGAGAAAUUGUACUAGUCUACUUGGCUAGUUCUUUAAAUUAUGUGACAUGUACUAUUGUGGAGGCUUAGCUAACAUAAAAUUUGGCACAAAAUUGAGCUUAAUGAUGUUCUAAAAUUCAUACAGCGCCGACCUCAUUUAAUGAGAUAAGACUUUAUUGUUGUUGUUUGUACUAUGGAUGAUGCUUGAUUUCUAACAGCCUUGGAUUUGAAAUGUAAAUCCGUCCUCUACAUAUGACACAUUCACAUUUAUUAGAGUUUAAGAAUGAGAGAUUUGUGUUAAUCAAACUUCAUGUACAGGAAAGAAGAUGUUGAUCAGUGAUGCUUUAAUGCCAAAUAAAUAAUCCUAGGACUUUUCAAAUUGGUUUACCAUUAUUUAUUUUAUUACGGAUCGCUUUUACCAUAGUAUCCAUUACUAAAUUACUAAUCACAUCUUAGCAUUCAGGCCAGCCCUGAGGGUAGCCGAGGUAGGCCGCCUAGUGCCCCCAAGUUCGGGGGGCCCCCAAAUUUUUUUAUACAUCCUGCAUAUAAAAUAUAAAUAAAGAAAACGUAAGAAACACCACAAUUAUUUUGUUGGUGCAGUGGAAACGGUUCCACUCUGUUUUCAUUGAGGUGGGCAGUUCGAAACACCUUGUAGGUAUUAGUUUUUGCGUUUUUCAAAUCUAUGAAAUUAAAGAUUAAAAUUAAAGAUAAAUUGCUCUUUAAAAAUUGUAAAAUUACAAGAAUCAAAAGGAGUUAAAAUAAUUCAACAAAUAUUAAUUUUGAAUGAAUUUAAAAUUUUCAACUUUAGAAAAAAAAAAAAAAAAAACCUCAUGGUAGUGAGUGGUUUAUGUUUAAAUUCUUAUUUAUUUUCAAAAAUAUUUUAAAUAAAAAUUGUAUAAAUAGAAAAAACUUGAGUUUCUUAAAUAAAAAACAUACAAAGGCCAAUUGUAAGAAGCUAGUGAAAUUAAUGGCCUCAAUUUGUCCAAAUGCAUUUUUUUUUCUUUUGCUUUUGAAAAUAACCUAAAAAAAAUAACAAAAACCAGAAUAAUCAUAACUUUGUAAUCCUUUUUCUUUCAACUUUCCAGUCUUUCUAUUUCUGUUGAAUGUUUAAGCAACUAUCACUUGGUCCUGAAGAUUGUAAUUUGAGGUAACCAUAACUUUGAAUUUAAAUUUUCUUUUUCAAUAAUUUAUUGUUAAACUAGGUUAUUCUAAAAUUUGAUUUGCUAGUGUGUGUUGAUUUUAGAAAGAACACAAGAGAACCACUAGGCGUUGUUGAAUUAUUAUAUUCGUCAAUCAAGUUUUAUUGUUUUUUACUCUCUUGAUCAUCAAGUUUUAUUGCUCUUCACUCUCAAUCUUAGUGCAUUUGCGUCUAAAGACAUGUGACAUGGAAUAUUAAGUAAUGUUAGUAUAUAUUUUUUUUUUCUUUUGAUAUUAAUUUAUAAUGAUAUUGGAUAAGCUCAUAUUUAUAUAUAUUUUACAUCAAAUUCACUUGUCUUUUCUUAGUUAGUUCCUUAUAUUUUUGAGCUAUUUACAUUGUUUUUGUGUUUUGUGGGAUUUGUCAAGCCAAGAAAAGAAAAAUAGCACAAAUAGGAUUUUUAGUAACAAAUUCGUCAAAACUGCCUGUGCAGAUCAGCUGACUUUGGAAGCAAGUUGCGAACAGCUCAGAAUGAAUUAGAGAAUGAGCCUUAUAUGCUUGGAAAUCUACGGAUGUCUAUUUUCUGGAGCAUUUCGCAGAUUGUUAAUAUCAUUUUUGUAGAAGAAGUUAUGGCCAUUUUAACACUAAAAGGUUCACAAGAGACUGAGCAGUUUGUAACUACAAUGAAAGCAAUAAACCCAAUAAGUCUAACAUCCAAAACUGAUGCAGCCAAGAACAAGUCAGCUGAUACCUAUUCAAAUAUCAGGGGAAAUGGAAAUAAAGAUGAGAAUUAAGUGGGAGUAAUGGGCAUAAAGGCUACCCAAAGAGUUACAAUUGUUUUACCAUUUCCUCUCACUUAUGGUCAUCACUAAAUGAUUGUUAGUGGGGUGAGUGAUGGAAAACAAAACUGGGAUAUCAAGCAAGAACAAAAAGGUGCAGGUUGCAGCUGCAAAGUGGGGGGGGGGGAAUAGGAGAAGAAAAAAGAAAAGAAAAGAAAGAGGACAAGGCAGCAGUGUUGGGGAAGGAAAGGAAGGAGGAAAUCUUGACAUUCUCUUCUCUCGGUUUUAUCUUCUCAAACUCAUGUCUUUCUUUUGGUUUUAUUUGAUAAUAAUGUGUAACUAAAUUCUUAGUAGUUAGGGGCUGUUUUGAAGCCCCAAAUAUGAUUACAAGUUUGUUAUGACAUUUUGUUUGAAUUACUUUUAUGAAUGGAUGAAAAUUGAUUCACUACUUGUCUCAUUGAUGAAUUAUUUAUGUGUUUUCUACGGAUGCAUACUUAGUAAGCAUAUCUAGGAUUCUAAAGCUAUGAAUAUGUAUGUGCCUGCCCUUGUCGAAUGAGAACCUACAUAUGUUCUAGAGUAGUACUUGUCAAUUGCGAUUAACAUGUGAACUAAUUUCUAGGAUAAGUAAGACAACGUCAGUACUUACGAUGCCAUUCUAGAUUGCAUGCUAGGGACUAAGUUAAGUUGAAAACGUCAUUCUCUUAACAUACUACAUAAGAAAGAGUAAUUUCGUAGAAUUUAGGUAAGUGUAAGUUGGUCUAAUAAUUAUUUUUCGGUGGCUGGUCAGUAGGGACAGCAACUAGUUUACCCUUAUUUUCAUAUGCUACAAUUGACAAAUCUUAGUGUUAAUGAGGAAAAUCAAUAAGACAUUUGUGUGCUAUUUUAUGGUGUGCUUUUAAUCCUAUCAAUAUUCGAUGAAGAAAUAUACUUUUUAUGUAAUUAGCGAAUUCUUCUUACUACAUACCAAUAUACAAAGAGUCGGAGGUCCGAGAACUUUAGGGCCCCACUUUGAAGACUCGCCUAGGGCCCCCAAAUUCUCAGGGCCGGCCCUGCUAGCAUCUUACCACCUUCUAGCACAUUUAUUAGGUGUUAGAUUUUAUCACAAAAAUUAAAAACAAAACCAUUCAUUGUAUUUUGUAAUUUAUUUUACCAAUUUUUCGACAUGAGAUAUUUUUGCAUUCUUCAACAGCGUGCACAUCUCUCAACCUAGUCGCUACGGGUAGCACUUAAACUCCUCAAUGAGAAAGCUAACCAUGAAUCCUACUAAUUUUUUUUGUCAAUAUUGUGUUGCUCAUCUUCCUUGUGAUUCUUCCCUCUUCCAUUUCGGCUGCUCUAGACGCCAUUACACCAAACCAACCCCUAAGAGAGGGCGACGUUCUUCUCUCCACCACUAAAAUCUUUGCACUAGGGUUUUUUAAAGCCAAGCAAUUCUCAUAACCGUUACGUCGGAGUUUGGUAAAACAAAAUUCCAAUCAAAACUGUUGUCUAGGUUGCAAACAGAGAAAACCCCAUAAUUCCCCUAUUGCUGGAACUGGACGCGCCCUAUAUUAGAAAAGUAUUCUCAUUGAAUGAAUAAUUAGAGUACAUUUGGUAUUUAUACAAAGAGCUAUAUUUGACAGCUCAUCAAAACUAACCUAUAACUAUCUAAUAACAAACUAACUUUCCAAUGACUAAUUACAACAGAAAUCACUAACUAUCCAAUGACUAAUUACAACAAAAUCAAGAUAAACAAUUAUCCUUAAUAUGCCCCCUCAAACUGAACUUGGGCAACCGAAGUGAUAGUUUGUCUUAAGCAACAGAAAACGAGACUUGGACAGAGAUUUAGUACAUAUAUCUGCAAUUUGAUCAUGUGAACAUACAAACUGAACAGUUACAGCUUUAGAGAGAACUUUUUCCCUGAUAAAAUGAUAGUCAAUCUCCACAUGUUUAGUCCUUGCAUGAAAUAAAGGAUUUUUUGCUAAGGAAAUCGCAGAAAUGUUAUCACACCACAAUUUUGGUGGAUAUGGAAGAGAUAGACCAACAUCAACAAGCAAUUUACAAAGCCAUGAAAGCUUAGCAGCAGUGUUAGCAAGAGAUCGAUACUCUGCUUCAGUGGAUGAGCGAGCCACUGUUGGUUGCUUUUUAGCACUCCAACUAAUAAGAGAGUUUCCAAGAAAUAUGCAAUAACCUCCAGUUGAUCUUCGGUCCAAGGCUUACCCUGCCCAAUCAUCAUCUGAAAAGGCAUUUGUAAUGAGUGAAGAUGAUGUUUUUGGAAACCAUAGUCCCAAAUCAAGAGUGCCCUUCAAGUAUCUCAAUAUUCUUUUAACUGCCUGCAAGUGAGACUGUCUGGGUUGAUGCAUAAGCUGACAGACCAAGUUAACAGCAAAGGAUAGAUCAGGUCGAGACCAAGUAAGGUAUUGUAACCUUCCUACAAUUGAUUUGUACUCAUCUGGAUGAGAGAGCAAUGGAGAAGAGUGGUCAAGUUUUGAUGUACUGAGAGGUGUUGCACAUGGUUUUGCACCAGCCAUGUUGGUCUUGGUAAGUAGAUCAAGAAUAUACUUGGGUUGUGAGAUAAAAAUACCAGAUAAUGACCUUUUAACCUCAAUUCCAAGAAAGAAAUGAAGAGGACCCAAGUCCUUGAUUGGAAAUAGAGAACUCAGUUGAGCUAUUGUGUCUUUGCAAGCCUGUGAAGAGGGACCCGUGACCAAGAUGUCAUCAAUAUAGACUAGGAUAAAAACCAGAGAAGGUUCAUUCUUGACAAAAAGAGAAUGAUCAUUAUGUUAUCCAUGAAAUCUCAUUGAUUUAAGUGCACCAUGAAGCCUCUCAUACCAGGCGCGAGGAGCCUGCUUUAGUCCAUAAAGACUCUUGUGAAGUUUGCAAACAUAGUGGGGCUUUGUAGGAUCUUGAAAACCAUAUGGUUGCUGCAUAAACACAUUCUCAGAUAGAUUACCAUGUAAAAAGGCAUUACUAACAUCAAACUGAUUGAGAAACUAAUCAUACUGAGAUGCUAGUGUGAGAAGAAGCCUGAUGGUUACUGGUUUAGCCACAUGGUUGAAUGUUUCUGUAUAAUCUAAACCCUCAUGUUAAUGAAAACCCUUGGCUACUAAACGAGCCUUGUAUCUGUCAAUAGUGCCAUCAGCUUUCCUUUUAAUACGGAACACUCAUUUACAACCAACAUGAUUAUGAGAAGGAUGUGGGGGAACAAGAAACCAAGUGCCUAUGUGAACCAGGACAUUAAAUUCCUCUUGCAUAUCUUGUCUCCAGUGAGGAUGUUUUGAAGCUUGGAGAUAAGUAGCAGGAAGAUUAUCUGCAGAAAUUUGGGAAGGAAGAGGGUGUUUGGUAGCUGAAUAGGCUUUUGGUUUAAAAAUGUUGGAUUUUGAUCUUGUUUGCAUAGGAUGAGUGUUUAAAGGUGGGGUUGGUGAUAUGUGUGAGGAAUGAGGAGAGACAGGGUGAGGAGAAUGAGGGAGAGGAGGUGAAAAAGUUGAAGUAGAAAAAGGUGCAUAUUGAUUUAGGUUGAUUACAAGUUGCAUAGGAUAAGAUGCUGCAGGGAAUUUGGUGAAGGUAAGAGUUGAAGGUAUGGGAGAGGAAAAGAUUGAGGCUGAGGAUGAAGAAGAUGAAACUGGAGAAACUUGAUGAAAUGGGAAAGUCAGCUCAUCAAAGAUGACAUGCCUUGAAAUAUAAAUCUUGUUGGAUUGAAGAUCAAGACAUCUAUAGCCAUUGUGAUUGAGACUAAAGCCAAGAAAGACACAGGGCUUGCUUUUGGGUUCAAGUUUGGAAGCUACAUAAGGUUUUAGCCAAGGAAAACACCUGCACCCAAACACUUUACGUGUUGUAUAAUCUGGAGGCUUGCUGAAAAGUUGUUCCCAAGGACAGGAUCUAGACAUAGUAGGCAACCUGUUUAUGAGAUAAAAUGCUGUGGAGAAUGCUUCAACCUAGUAAACAUGAGGAACAUGAGAAGCAGCUAAAAGUGUGCGAGCAACUUAUACUAAAUGUCUAUGCUUGCGCUCCACACAGUCAUUUUGUUUUGGUGUGUGAGGGCAUGAGAGUUGAUGAUGAAUGCCAUUGUCUUUAAGAUAUUGAAUAAACACGGAACUAAGAAAUUCACCAUCAGAGUUAGAUCGUAAAGUGACAACUUUAGUAUUUAACAAAGAUUCGACAAGAACUUUGAAUUCAACAAAGGUUUUAAAGACCUCAGAUUUACAUUUGAUCGGAAAGAACCAGUUAUAUCGACUGAAAUCAUCCACUAUAAAAAGAUAAAACCGAUAACCAGAUACAGAGAGAAAUGGAGCUGGACCCCAAACAUCUGCAUGUAAAAGUUCCAAAGGUCUAGUGGUAACACUAGAAGCUGAUACAAAUGGCAGUUUUGAACUUUUACCCAAUGCACAAUUUGAACAGAAGGUUUUAUUCAUAAUAGUAGUGAGAGGAAUACUAGACUUAGACACAAGUUUAUGUAAAACUUUGAAAGAGAGAUGACCCAAUCUUUGACGCCAAAUCUCUGGAGAAGCUUUGAUAGUAGCUGCAAAAUCUUAUGUGAACCAUCAUUGACAGAUGUAAUGAAUGGAUAAAAUCCAUUUUGCACAGGUCCUUUAAAAAGCGUCCUCUUCGAAAUAUGAUCCUUCACAGCGAAGUGAAAAUGAUAUAGGCGAAUUGAACACCAAUUAUCAAGUGUAAAUUUAUUUGCAGAGAGUAAAUCUUGCUUCAAAUCAGGCACAUGUAACACAUCAUGCAAAUCAAAACGAUGAUGAGGAGUAGAUAUAGAGGUAGAACCAGAAUUAGAUAUAGGCAAACCUUCACCAAUGUAGACUUGUUCAGGGCCGGUGUAUGGUGCUGGAUUUUGAAGAUUCGCCAGAGAACUUGUCAUAUGUGAGCUAGCUUCUGAAUCAAGAAGCCAGGAAUGAGAAGUACUCUGUGAAGGAUUAGCACACAUAGCCAUCUAAGAAUGUCGAUUGCCAAACUGAGGAUUCAUACAAUGAGGGCAAUCAUAGGCUUCAUGAUUAUACUGACGACAUAUUUGACAAGUUGAUAUUCUGCCACUGAAAUUAAAGCCCGAGCGACCUCCACAAUUGUUCCUCUGAGUAUAGCGAGAGUAAUUUGGACGCUGACUGUUACCACAAUAACCGGAGAAAUUGCCCUUAUUUUGAGAAUUCCUAGGGUUAGACAAAAUGCGAGCUUGAGAACAACCUUGAUACUGAUUAAACUAAGAUGAAUUCUGAGCAAGAAAGGCCUGAGAGCCAGUAUUGGAAGUCGGUGUAGGAAGAAUGCCAGAGGAUAAUGCAAGAUUCGAAUUGAGGCCUGAAAAACGCCAGAGGAUGUAGUAGCUUUCUUGCGAGUGGUAAGCUGAAUUUCUUUACUUAGAAGUAAGCCAUGUAACUCAUCAAGUGUUGUAGAGCCAAGACGGAAUUGGAUCGCAUCAACAAAGGAAUCAUACUCCGGCGGCAGGCUAUGAAGAGUUAUAGAAAUCAGAUCAGAGUCUUCAGUCGGAGCUUCGGCGCUGGCAAGAGCAUCAGCAAUGUCUUCAAUUUGUUGAAGAUAAGCAAAGGCGGUGGAAUCACCUUUUGAAAUAUUAUGAAGACGAGAUCGGAGUUCAUGAAUAUGUGAUUGAGAAGCUGCUGCAAGGCACGAUUCAAGCUUAGACCAUAGCUCUCGAGAGGAAUUUACACCCAUAGUAUAGGGAAUUAGGGAUUCAGAAAGUGUAGAGUUGAUCCAUAUGAGAAUAUUUUGAUCAUUCGCAUACCAAGAAACAUAGUCAGGGUUGAAAUUGCGAUUACCGGAAGAAUCAAGAAGAAAUUGAGGCGGUGCCGCCAUAGAUCCAUCAAUGAGACCGGUAAGAUUGUAGCGACGGAAGAUUGGGGCAAAGAGAGCACUCCAGGUCAAGUAAUUUGUAGUGGUGAGCUUGAUUGGCACCAUAGAUCCGAUGUUUUGGAUCAUAAUGGAGGUAGAAGAGAAGAAUUAGGGUUUGAGGAAGAAGUCGGAAUGGGAUGAACAUGUGUAGCCGAUUCCGACGAAGGAUACGCCAUGGCUGAAUUGAUGAGAGAAACUUGAAGAGAUCAAACGCGAUCGAGAAAUCGAUCAGAGAAUCAGAGAAUCAGAAAAGAGAAAAAUUGUAGGGAGAAGCGAGAAGGAUUGGAUCGAAGAGGGAGAAGUCAAAAGACAAAGGCAGGUGAUACCAUAUUAGAAAAGUAUUCUCAUUGAAUGAAUAAUUAUAGUACAUUUGGUAUUUAUACAGAGAGCUAUAUUUGAUAGCUCAUCAAAACUAACCUAUAACUAUCCAAUACCAAACUAACUGUCCAAUGACUAAUUACAACAUAAAUCACUAACUAUCCAAUGACUAAUUACAACAAAAUCAAGAUAAACAACUAUCCUUAAUACCCUAGCCAUUCAUGGAGAUCAUGGUGGCCUUGUCAUAUAUGGGGAGGACCAAAAUACCCCUUUCUGGUCCGCUAAUGUCACCGUCUCUUCUCCAAACAAAUUCGUGGUAGCCAAGCUUUUGGAUACGGGCUGGACAGGCAGUCCGGGCUAAACCGGUUCCCCACAUCUUGGAAGUCCCAAAAUGACCCGGGAACGGGCAACUGUUAGUACCGGAUAGAGUCAAGUGAGAGUCCACAGCAGUUCUUAUGCAAGGGUCAGACUCCAUUAUGGGGGGCAGUGGCGAAGCUACGUGAGGACGAGGAGUGGCAGCCGCCCCUCCCCUCGCCGGAAAUCAAGCACAGGAGCGGCGAUUCCGCCCCUCCGAUCUCGUCGGAAGUGAUGAAAUUCCGUUUGGUUUUCUGGCCUUUUGGGUUUCCCUGUUCUAUCACAGCACAGGCUGAUCACGGGCUCUCUUUUUUUUUCCAAAAAAAAAAACCUAGGCCAAAGAAAUGAGGAAUGAAGAUCUGCAUUUAGCAGCUUCUGGAUAUUGGAAAUGUUCUGGUUUGGUUCUAACGAAGAAGAGGAGAAAGGAAGAAGAGAGAGACUCUCUCUCUCCCAUCCCACCCCACGUGACCUUUACAAUUUGUUUUUUUUUUAAAUAUUGGCCAACCAAUAUGCGCCACCUAACCUGCUUUUGUUGAUUUAUAUUGGAAUUUAUUUUAUUUUUUAAUUAUUGUCCAAUUAAUUUGACCAAUCUUUCAAUAUUUAUUAAACCACUUGUUUGACACUGUUAUUUAUCUUAAAAUUCACUAUAAUUUAUACGAGCUUCAAAAAAUAAUUUGUAAAAUAUUAAAAACUUGUAAUUAUGUUUUUUCUUCUCUUACCAUCAAAUUCAACAAAGUAAUGAAGAAAAUUUGUCAAUAUUUUUAUAUAUUAUAUGUUUUAUAAUCAAUGUUUUUUGGAUAUUACAAACUAUAUAAUAAAUAGACAAUUAUUUAUACGGUGUAUAAUAAAUUUAUUCAAAUUUGCCUAGGUCCUUGCCGAAGUGUAAAGUCAUGUCCAUCGUCUGACUAGAGCUUAACAUCUUUUAAAACUUUGCUAAUUAUACAGUUAAGUAAUAGGACGAUACAACGAGAAACGGUGCUAAAUCAUCCUUCAAAUAAUAUUGUUUUUCAAACCCUCCUUCGACUAUUUUGAGUAGUCCAAAUCCUCUUUUGAAUAUUUCGGUUAGUGCAAAUUCUCCUAUGAAUAUUACGGGUGGUUCAAAUAAUCUUCUUGCAAAUGCAAGACUUACACCUCGAAUGAAUGUUCACAUUUUUCGGGACCCUAAAUUUUUUAAAUUUCGCCCCUCCCCCCAAGAAUUCCUGGCUUCGCCACUGGUGGGGGGCUGGAUCUUGGACCAGUGAAAGAUGGUCCAGGGUGCCUGCAAUGACGAAAAUUUUCAUCUUCAACGCUACUUUUGUGAACAAUCAAGAUGAGGUAUCCGUCAUGUAUGGUAUUGUUGAUGAAUCAAUCUUCUCAAAAUUGGUGAUCGAUGAAUCAGGAAUCCUUGAACGGACCAAAUGGCAAGAUCAAGCGCAUCAAUGGGUCAAGUUUUGGUCCGCCCCGGUUAAGCAAUGUGAUUUUUACUGGAAGUGUGAUUUUUACAUUGCGGAUAAAUUUGAGUGCAAUUGCCUACCUGGAUUCGAACCCAAGUUGCAACAUGAGUGGUAUUUGAGAGAUGGGUCAGGCAGGUGAGUGAGGCAAAAAGGAUCAUCCGUUUGCCAAAACGGGGAAGGGUUUGUGAAGUUGGAACGUGUGAAGGUGCCGAACGCUUCUAUGACACGGGAGAGCAUGAGUAUGAGUCUGAAAGCAUGUGAAGAAGAAUGCCUGAGAAAUUGUUCUUGCAUGGCAUACGCAAUUGCAGAUGAAGGGCAGGGAGGGAGUGGGUGUAUAACAUGGCAUGGGGACUCGAUGGACACAAGGACUUAUUCGGAUACGGGUCUAGAUUUAUAUGUGCAAGUUGAUGCAAUUGUUUUAGGUAUAUUUUCAUUAUCAAUUUAUCUUCUUUCUUUCUUUACAUUAUCAAUAAUUUUCCUCGUACCGUCGACGUUCCAUGAAAAAAAAACUCUUCUUUCUUUUAUUUCAUAAAAUAUUUGAGGAAUUAUUAUUUAGUUUGGGAGCCGUACGUUUGUUAACGUUCUAAAGAAAUCAUUUGGCACGGGUCUCUUGACAAAUAAUAAAAGUGAAAUUGUUUCAUUAAGAGUGUAAGAUGAUUUUUUUGGAGUACUCAUAAAUUUUGGAAAUUAAUAUAAGUUCUCACGCUAAAAAUUGAGUUUCAUACAUCUGUUAAAAUUGUUAUUAAAUCAACCGUUAACUGGUGACGUGAUGCUUACGUGGAUAAUAAUUAAGCGCCACGUGUCAAUGGGCCCACGUGGACAUUAAAAAUAAAAAAAAUUCAAGGCUUCUCCUACCUCACCCCCUCCGUCUCUUCUCCCUUCUCCCACCUCUGCACCGACCCUUCCGCACACCAACCUUCAAUUCCUCUUCAAUUCUACGCUCUCCCUCUCUCUGUGACAAAAAAAGAAAAUUUUAACUCUUUUUUUUUCUGGGCGUCUCCUACCUCACCCCGCGCGUCCCCCCCCCCCUCCCCCCGGCGCGCCUACUCCCGUGAACUCGCCUCCUCCUUCGGGAUCACGUUCUGAUAAAAAAAAUUUAAGGAACCUAGCCCUCGGAAACCCUCCUUCAGCAAAUUCGAAGAACCAAAUCCCCGAGGGACCUGAUUUCGACCAACAACCGAAAGUGGGUGUGCCCAGGAGCGACGACUGAGGGGAUUUGCUAAGGUGGUUGUGCCCAGGAGCAACGACAGUGAAUCGGCGGCAGGAAGGUUGAAUUGAAAGGUGGGAGUUGUCUUAAUAGCGCCAUAUCACCAGUUUGUAAGAAACCUAAUUGGACUAAAUUAAAUUGUAUAAGAAAGAAAUGCAUUUGCCAAUUGUACAAACUGGUGGGAGUUGUAAACGUGCAAAACUGCUUACUAUAAUCAAGGAAUAUGUGGUGAUUCUGAUCAGGAAACAACUUGCAAUCUGAAACUGCAAAUAACUGUAAAGAACCAACGGUCCACGAUAGAUGGAAGUUGGCAAAGGUUAUACUUAUAAAAGGACUCCCUGCUCACAAAGAAAACGUUCUGUAAUUAGGGUUCUAUCACCAUUGGAACAUAAGGUCUUGAGUGAGUAGAAGAAUUCUUGAGUGUGUUAACAGUAACCAUGGCUGCACUAGGUAAGUCUUUCUUAUCUAAUUUCAAAUUGUGACCUAGUAUGCAUGCUAAUAACUAAGGUUUUUCCAACAUUUGGUAUCAAAGCUAUGUUAGCAAGCCCCUAGGUCGGAUGAAUUAAUAAAAAAUCCUAAUGCUUUAAGAAUGUACAAAAUUUGUAUGGUGAUUGCUGCAGUUUAUUUUUAUCGUGGGCACUAUAAUUCUUCCACUAAUAUGUAUUUCUCUUCUCUGUGUUUGUGUUGGUUGGUGGAGUUGGGUUUUUUGGAUCUUUUGAAUUGGAGCUUCAAAUUCCAUCGUGCAUGUGUGGUUCAAGCAUGUUGCCCAAUCUGAAAUUCUCACUCUCUCAAUCGGCUGGAUGGUGUCUUGGUUUUGUUGAUGCUUGGUUGAAGGAACAGAUAAUCAUGCUAUUUUAACCAUUGGACAAAUGUUUAUUAAAUCUUCACCAAAGUGGGAUUUUAUGGAAAUUUUGGUCUGGGACAGGAAGCAUGGAGUGAUUCAAUUUCCAAGGCUUUAACUCUUGUUGACGACGAAACCAAGCAAAGAUCGCAGGGCCUCAAGAAGAUCUUACUGGCCUCGGUCUUGGCCAUGGUGGCGGAGACGACGUUUCCGGUAGACAUUACGAAGACUUCCAUUUUGCUGCGAUAAUGACUGCUCCAAUGAUCAUGGAUUCAAUUGGGGGAAAUGCCGAAAAUGGCAAACUCCUUUCUCGAGGAGGUGCUGGACCAUGUGUUCUCAUUCAUAUAGACGAACCAGGACCGGAACUUGAUUUCGGUAGUGUGUGCAAGUUGUGGUACGAGAUCAAACUAUGGUGCUGGCGGCGUGCAAAACUGCUUCCUAUAAUCAAGGAAUAUGUGGUGAUUGUGAUCAGGAAACAACUUGCAAUCUGAAACUGCAAAUAACUGUAAAGAACCAACACUCCACGACAGAUGGAAGUUGGCAAAGGUUAUACUUAUAAAAGGACUCUGCUCACAAAGAAAACAUUCUGUAAUUAGGGUUCUAUCACCAUUGGAACAUAAGGUCUUGAGUGAGUAGAAGAAUUCUUGAGUGUGUUAACAGUAACCAUGGCUGCACUAGGUAAGUCUUUCUUAUCUAAUUUCACAUCGUGACCUAGUAUGCAUGCUAAUAACUAAGGUUUUUCCUACACAGUUAACUGCUGAUUUAACAGCAAUAUUAACAUAUGUAUGAAACUGUCCCAAACUUAUGACUUCAGGUACCAUUCUGGGAUGAAAAAAACUUCAUGUACCAAAUGUUGAAAAUCAAGAAACUUCAGAGUAGUAAAUUGAGAUUAACCUUUGUUAAAAAUUAUAAUCCUCUUAUCUGUACGGUGAUUUAUACAAAACACUGUACAAAUGGUGAUUUUUACAUAAAACUAUAUUAUAGUGAUUUCUACAUAAAAUUAUAUCAAAAAUAUUUGAGAUGGUAGUCAAAUCUUAUGCAUAAAACUCUCUUAUGAUAGUGCAAAAGUUUUUACUGAUUAGAAAUAGUUCAAAAUUGUUUGAGUGCGGUAUUGGACUUGAAUUUUUUAAACUGACUCUAGCUCAUAUCUCAUAAGAAUCAAGCCAAGCCUACUUGCGAGCUCGAAAAAAUUAAUCAAGCCAAAUUUAAACACAAUAGUAUUCGGUUCGGCUUGACUAGUUUCCAAUCCUACAUUUAUUUAUUUAUUUGUUGAUAUUUGCUCUUUACUUCUUUUCUAUAAAAUUGUUUCUUGCAAAAGAAAAGCGUAUAAUGUUGACCCAGCAAUAGAAUUAUAAUGGUCUAGCAUAACUCUUGUAUAUUAUUAUAUGGUUUUUCAAACUAAAUAAGGGCUUUGUUAUGUGCUUUUUGUAGAAGCAUUUUAAGUGUUUUUUUUAAUAUUUACUUGCAUUUUUACAGAUCAUUGAUACCAAAGCACUCUUAUUAAAAGAACUUUCAAUUAUUUAAACACUUUUAAAUGAACCCUAAAAUACAGAAAAAAAUAAAAACAAAACAGCGUAAUAGGAUGAGCUUUUCGGUUAACAUGUACAUAAUUUAGUCUAUCCACUUUGGCAUUCUAAUGGCGGCACUAACAUAAUUUAGUCUAUCCACUUUGGUAACGUAAAGAAGUGGUAAACCACGAAUUUAAACUUUGGCAGAAGAAAGCAAAAGAGUUGAAUAAAUUAUUACUGGAUGGUUCAAUGAACCCAAAAAUAUCAGAUUUUGGCAUAGUAAGAAUGUUUGGGGAUGACCAAAUUGAAGCAAACACGAACAAAGUUGUUGGCACCUAGUAAUUGUCUCCUCUCCCUAUAAAAAAAAUAAAAUUAAGUAGAACCGAUAUAUAUAUAUAUAUACAUUUUUUUUGAUAUUGUGUGAUUGCAGCGGUUACAUGUCACCAUAGUAUGCUAUGGAUGGGUUAUAUUCCACAAAAUCCGAUGUGUUUAGCUUUGGAUGCUUGGCACUAGAGAUCAUUAGUGGAAGGAAGAACAGCUUCCAAUUCGAAAAGUCAUCUUUGAAUUUGGUUGGAAUAGUAAGUAAACAAAUAAUUUUUCAGACGAUGAAUCUAACUUUCGAGUAGUCCAAUGAUCUAAACAUUGUGCUCAAAAUUGUUUCAAAUAUGGGAUUUGUGGACAGAAGGAAAAGUUUUGGACAUAAUUGAUUCAUCACUGAAGCAGUCAUAUUCGACUCAUGAAGUUAUGAAAUACAUUCAGAUUGGGCUUUUGUGCGUGCAAGAGUACCUAACAGACCGGCCAACCAUGCUAGAUGUUGUGUUCAUGUUGGGGAAUGAAACGAUUCUUCCACAUCCGAAAAAGGCAACGUUUAGCUUGAAAAACAGUGGUCUGGAUUCUUCAAUUUGUAAAGGUUCUUCUUUUGUAAAUGAUGUAACAAUAAUAGUUAUUGAAGCUCGUUGAGUUCGCACUUUGCGGGCUCUUGUAGAGAUUUUGCAUUACUUCUCAAGUUUUUUUACUCAAAUCGAGAUUCCUUGUGGAGAGAAGAGGCAAUGCCUUUGAAAUUGUUGAUUCAUCUCUGGGCAAAUCGUACCCUGUCAACGAAGUUGUGAGAUGCAUCUAAAUUGCCCUGUUAUGGACUGUAAGUAGGAUUAGAGUUUAGUUAUAAGCUAUAACUUGGGUUCCAUGUAAAGAUAAUAUUCUAGUUAUUCUUGGAGAAUAAGAGCUCCUGAUAUUAUCCUAUUUUGAUUUAGAUUUGGUAGAUUAUUUCCUCGUACAAUAACGAGUCCUACUGACAUCAUUAUGGGAGGAUGAAUUAGGUUUUUUUUUUAACAAACGAUAUUAUCUACACUAAGGGGGUGGCAGAGUGGGCUAUGCCUCAUAAUAGGGUUCAAAUUUGCCUUUGGCGAGAAUCGAAUCUAAACCUCUCACUUACCAGUGAAGAAGAAUAUCAUUAGACUGUAGUACUAAGUGGCGGGAGGAUGCAUUAGGAUUGAGUUAGUAUAAAUACUAAACAUAAGUCCCUGCACAUACCACUAAAUAACAACCCAAAAGAAUUCCCCAGAGGUUUGAGUUAUACAAUGGUGGUGAGUGUGUAGGCGGCCUUGCUUGUGUUCUUAGUGUGCUCGUGUGCUUGCUGCAAUUCGUGGCUUGUUGUGCUAUUGAGAAUGGCUUCUCAAGGUUAGUGUUUUCAUGGCGUUUUGAUUCACAUGAACAUAUUAGGUUUAACAGAGUAUGCCACUGAGCUGCCAACAAUGUCGGUGGUUGUUUUCAUGCUAGGUAAUGAAGCAGCAGCUCCAUCACCAAAACAACCAGCAUUUUUAUUGGAGUUAUAUAUAACAAUGGAGACCCAUCACCACAAUACUGAAGGAUAAAAUUUUGUAAACGAUGUGAGAUGUAGUAGCGUAGAACCUCGCUAAAACUCUUAAGAUAUUCCGAAAUGCUGUAUGUUAAGCAACUAUUGGUAGCUUGUAAAAGGUUAUUAACCACAAAAAUUUUGCCUCAAAUAAGUAGGUUCCAAUUUUCUUUCUAGUGCAUUGACAUGCAGGGCAUGUCAAAAUUAUUGGUCUCGAUUACAACGUAAUUGAAGAGAAAUUAUACUAGUCUAGUUAGCUAAUUCUGUAAAUUAUGUGACAUAUAUUAUGGUGGGGCCUUAGCUAACAGAAAACUUGGCGAGAAAUCGAGCACAAUGACAUUAUAGAAUUCAUACAACUGACUUUACUUAAUAAGAUAAGACUUUAUUGUUGUUGUUGUUUGUACUAUGGUGGAUGCUUGAUUGCUAACAGCCUUGGAUUUGAAAUGUAAAUCCGUCCACUACAUAUGACACAUUCACAUUUAUUAGAGUUUAAGAAUGAGAGAUUUGUGUUAGUCAAACUUCAUGUACAGGAGAGAAGAUGUUGAUCUGUGAUGCUUUGCUUGCCAAAUAAAUAAAAGGAAAAUUAAUGAAAAUGACUUGAAAACUUUGAAUUUUAACAAAAAUGACAAAAAGAUGUUGUAAGUGAAUAGUACGAGGAGUGACUUUUUAGAGUAAAUUCGUUAAAGUAAACAGUACCAAAAGUAUUUCGUUAAAACUCCCGUAAAUAAAUUCCAAGACUUUUCAAAUUGGUUGACCUUUAUUUCAUUUUAUAACAGAUCGCUUUUACCAUAAUGUCCAUACUAAUCACACCUAGCAUUUUACUAUCUACUAGCACAUUACGGGGUGUUGAAUUUUAUGACAAAAAUGAAAGUUAAAAUCAUUUAUUAUAUAUUGUAAUUUAUUUAUCAAUUUUUCGACAUAUAUUUUUGCAUUCUUCAACAGCGUGAACAUCUCUCUCCCUGGCCACUACGGGUCGUACUUGGCCCCAUUCGGAGCCAAUUUGUCUUAUCAAUCUACUGAAUACAACUGGUGUGGUCAGAAUUGAUGAAGUGGAACUUUCUAGCUAGGAUCAGUUUGAGGGAAUUGUUAUGUCUCGUCCACAUGUUUGCCUGGAAGUUGCGUGUAAGUUCAUGUUGCAUCAACGACUGGAAAUCGAGGGUGCGUUCACCGUUGCAUCAACGACUGGAAGUCGCCCGUAUGCCCUUAGAGUUACUGAAACUCAAUCCAAGAAAACAAAAUCCAACCUUUCCGGCUUUUUGUUUCUGCAUGUCAAAAGAAGCAGCCAUUUUAGCACUUAAACUCCUCCAUGAGAAAGCUAACAAUGAAUUCUACUGAAUACUUUUUUGUCAGUACUGUAUUGCUCCUCUUCCUUGUGAUUCUUCCCUCUUCCAUUUCGGUUACCCUAGACGCCAUUACACCAAACCAACCCCUAAGAGAGGACGACGUUCUUCUCUCCACCACUAAAUUCUUUGCACUAGGGUUUUUUAAGCCAGGCAAUUCUCGUAACCGUUACAUCGGAGUUUGGUACAACAAAAUUCCAAUCCAAACCAUUGUUUGGAUUGCAAACAGAGAAAACCCCAUAGUUCCUACUGCUGGAACUGGACUUCUAGCCAUUCAUGCAGAUCACGGUGGCCUUGUUUUGUAUGGGGAGGACCAAAAUACCCCUAUCUGGUCCACUAAUCUCACCGUCUUCUCCAAACAAUUCCGUGAUAGCCAAGCUUUUGGAUACGGGAAAUCUUGUUGUAGUUGAAAUUAAUGGCGGUAGUAGUGAAAAGGUGUUGUGGCAAGGUUUUGAUUAUCCCACAAAUACGAUGCUUCCUGUUAUGAAACUUGGGCUGGACAGGCGAUCCGGGUUCAACUGGUUCCUCACAUCUUGGAAAUCCCAGGAUGACCCGGGAAUGGGCAACUGUUCGUACCGGAUAGAGCCAAGUGAGAGUCCACAGGGGUUCUUAUACAUGGGUCAGACUCCAUUGUGGCGGACUGGACCUUGGAUCGGUGAAAGAUGGUCCGGGGUGCCUCAAAUGCAAAAUAAGAUCUUCUUCAACGUUACUUUUAAGAACAAUCAAGAUGAGGUAUCCAUCAUGUAUAGUGUUGUUUAUGAAUCAAUCUUCGUAAAGAUGGUGAUCGAUGAAUCAGGAAACAUUGAACGGUCCGCAUGGCAAGAUAAUAAAUGGGUCCAGUAUUGGUCCGCGCCGGAUGGGCAGUGUGAUUUUUACGGGAAGUGUGGUCCGAAUAGCAUUUGUGACCCAUACCCAAAAUUUGCCGAUAAAUUUGAGUGCAAAUGCCUACCUGGAUUCGAACCCAAGUUGCGACAUGAGUGGUAUUUGAGAGAUUGGUCAGGCGGGUGCGUGAGGCAAAAAGGAUCAUCCGUUUGCCAAAACGGGGAAGGGUUCGUGAAGUUGGAACGUGUGAAGGUGCCGGACACUUCUACGGCACGUGUGAACAUGAGUAGGAGUCGGGAAGCAUGUAAAGAAGAAUGCCUGAGAAAUUGUUCUUGCACGGCAUACGCAAAUGCAGAUGAAAGGCAGGGAGGGAGUGGCUGUAUAACAUGGCAUGGGGACUUGAUGGACACAAGGACUUAUUUGGAUACGGGUCAAGAUUUAUAUGUGCGAGUUCAUGCAAAUGUUUCAGGUAUAUUUCCAUUAUCAAUUUAUCUUCUCUCCUCUCUUUUCCUUAUCAAUAAUUCCCCUCAUAACGCCAAGGUUCCAUAUAAAAAAGAAAAAAAAUCUUCUUUCUUUAUUUCAUUAAAAAAUUUGAGGAAUUAUUAUUUAGUUUGGUAAUUGUACGUUUGUUAUCAUUUAAAAAAAAAAAUCAUUUGGCACUGAUCUCUUGCCAAAUAAUAAAAGUGAAAUUGUUUCAUCAAGAGUGUAAGAUGACUUUUUUAGAGUACUAAUUUUUUUUAUAAAAAAAUUCAGAAAUUUCUAUAAAUUAAUACUAAAAAUUUAGUUCUUAUGGUCAUUGGAGCUUUUUACAAGGUUUUUUUUCCCAAAUUUUUUCAAGGUUUUUAAACAUGGAAAUAAAUGCUUGUAUAUUUGCAGCUCAAAAUGCAAAGAAGUCAAACAGUUCUUUUGGCAAGAAGAGGAAGCUGGAAGUUUCAGUAGCAUGUGGUCUAUUGUUCUUCCUCUUGUUUUCCCUUGCAUGUUGGUUGGUAAAGAGGAAGAGAAAAGGUAAACAAAUUUCCUUUUACUAGGUUGCCCUCUAAUCAUUCACAAUUAUGAAUUAUAUAAGAACACAACAUUAUCUGUUUAUGUACUUUUAUCACAGGUCAGAGAAGUCAGGAUAAAUUUUUCAAUGUGACCGUAGCAUCAACCGCCUGGGAAGAUUCUUCUGCUAGAACAAAUAUUGAUGAAAGUGGAAUAAACUCUGAAUUACCAUUCUUUGAACUAAGUACCAUAGUUAAGGCCACAAAUAAUUUCGCUUCCAACAACAAGCUUGGAACAGGUGGUUUUGGCUCCGUUUAUAAGGUACGUUGUUGCCCUCAGAUAAUGUCUCAAAUCAUAAAUCAAACUUUGAAUAGACAUUUCUUAGAUUUAUUUUUUAGCCAUCUGCACUCCAAAUCAAUUAUUUUUACCUCUACUCACCCUUGUAGUUUAAACAGAAGAACAUAAUGAAGAAAUCUUGCAGAGAAAGAAAGAGAAUCAAGAAGAGAGAGGGAGCAAGAUUUAGGGAGAGAGAGAGAGAUCUUAGACAGAAAAAGUGAAUCUUUGUUAAUGAUUUCAGAAAAAAUACAAGGUAGUGAUCCAUAAGGAUAUAUAUCCAAACUAUAUUGCUUACAAGCUAAGCUAACAUUUAGCUCACAGGCUAUUGACACUUGCAAACAAUAGGAUUACAAGACCAUUACAGUUUAACAAAAAUCAAGAGACCCGUCCAAUAAAGACUGGAAAGGCUGACUCAAAAAUAUAUUUCAUUAAAAUUCAAACCCAAUCAAUAAUCGAUAAGUGAUGGGAACUAUCUUGUUUCGACUUUUCACAAUUAUCCCACACAGUGAUGUGGAUUUUGAAACUGUAUAAAACACGUAGAAAGUUUUAAAUCUAUAUAUGAUAAGCCAUACUACUUAUAUAUAUAUGUGUGUGUGUGUGUGUGUGUGUGGAAAUCUAUUCACAAACCUAUUGUUAAGCCAUACUACUUAUAUACAAGUGAUGGUUGCAUGGUAUUAAUCUUCUACACAGAAAAAGCAAGUGUUUCCCACCCUAGGAAAUUGUUAAGCACCUAUCAAACUAAUUGAUUGGAAACAGUAUGGUGCUUCCCAAUCUAAAAAGUCAAUGACACUAAAGCAGCAGAUUAGCGAAUAGAUUAGUGAAUAGUUAAUUAUGAUUUGUUUUGGGUCCAAAGAAACCUUGUUAGGUGAUGGUGAAUCAAUAUGAAAGUAAACAAUGCCGAUUUCAAAAUGGAAACUGAAGAGCUAUUCGUUGAAUGAAGUAACAAUUAAAUCUGUUAAAUUACAGCAGGAGAAGUCUAAUAUAUACAGAAAGCCGCAUAAGUAAACAUAUACCAACCAAAAAGUGGGCUAAUCCAACCAAUCUCACCAAUGGACAUUGUCACCCGAGCAAUUGUCGGACUACAUCUUAGACGAAACAAAAAAAUGCUGAGGAAAAUGAUCAUUACCCAAAAUUCCAUUCUGAACAAAUAUUUGGACCAAUAACGAAGAAUUCUAGAAAAACAUGAAAAACUUAAUAAAACCCAAUUUAAACGAAGAACUCCAUCUGAAGCAGAUUUUCACAUGCAAUAGUUGUAGAAGAUGCCUAAGAUGAUAAGGAGUCAUUUGAGACCAUCAACUCAACCCCAUUCGAACGCAAUCACAAAAUCAAAAAGGACAAAAUGGGCAAACAAAAACAAUGAGAAAGCACCUACCUUGAGCUUGAAAGAGAGAGGAAGAAGAACGACGGUGCCCUUCUUCAGCAGAAUUUUGCCGAUAUUGUUUCCGGCCGUUGCCGCCAGCGCUAGGAAGAUCGACUCUCACAUCCCAAGAACCCUAAUUAUAAACUCCCAAUCAAACGCAAAAAGGAUAGAGGAAGCCCAAAUAAAGGGAAAUUCGAGAAAUUCAACAUACCGUAAGACGCUUUCUGACAUCAAGAGAUACGGGAAUCGGAGAGAAAAGAAGAGCAGAGGAAGAUGAAACAUUGUGGGUUUUCCAGUAGAGAAGGAGCGAGAGGAGGGAUGAGAGAUGACAGGAGAGCGCACGCGUAGGAGAGAAAGAGGAAUAGAGGUGAGAGGAGAGCGCGUCUAAACCGAUUCCCAACCGUACCAAACCCUCUGGAGAAAAUUGUGGGCAUUUUGGUCAACAAACAAAUAGUGGCAGAGUUGUAAAUACAACAAAAUAGUGCAAUUGAAAACCUUACUUUAGAUUAAAGUAAUAAUUCAAAAUACUGCAAUCUUUUGUUAUUUCAAUCGCAUUUCUCCUUCACUUGAAGUAGUCAAAGCAUUUUUAUGCAUAUGCAUUGAGUUUUACUCCUUUGUUAAUGUAUAAAUGCAAUUUCAAGGGGAGGAUAUAUAUAUAUAGAGCUACGAUUAUGUUGAUAAUUUUCCUGAAAGGUAAGUGCACUAUAAGUUGAAUUUGGAUUAUAAAUUCAGGGUGUGCUUGAUAAUGGAAAGGACAUAGCAGUGAAAAGACUAGCCAAGAAUUCUGGCCAAGGAAUUGGAGAGUUUAAGAAUGAAGUUGUGCUGCUUUCAAAGCUCCAACACAGGAACCUUGUAAGGAUCAUGGGUUGCUGCGUUCAAGAUGAAGAGAAGAUGCUGAUCUAUGAAUACUUGCCAAACAAAAGUCUUGACUUUUUCAUUUUCG
rnacentral:lncRNA from 1 species